rnacentral:lncRNA from 1 species
UAUAAUUUAAAAUAUAUUAUUUUUAGGGAUAACUUCAAAAACCCCGUGGUCUCGCACUUUCUAACUUUAGUACUCUGUGAUUUAAAGUGUAUUAAUUUGCUCCCCUAUGGUUUCGUUUUUUCCCUUUUUUUUUAUCAAUUUUAUUAUUUUUUUUUUCUAAAAUCAGUGACAAAAUUAAAAUUAAAGGGUACUAAAGUAAAUAUUCGGUAAAUCUCGAUGGGUACUUGAAGUUUUUUGUAUAUAAUUUAACGAAACAUUNGUUUAAAAGGUUAUACUUAAUCAUUCCAUAAUUUUAUUCUUAUUUGAUCAUAAAAUCUUAUUGUUAAUCAAAGUAGGGCUACUAUAUUCUUAUUAGUAUAGAGCCUUUCGUAUUCAUAAGUUGUUUUCAAUGUUGGGGCUUCUGAAUCGACGAUUUAACCGUUAAACAUGAUAUAUUUGAAACUUUUAGAAAAUAAAUUUCAUAAUUUUUCGAAACCAUUAUAAAGUCCAUCAAGCGGGUAUAAAAUGAACGAUCAAAAUCGAACGAUAUCCUAAAAUUAGAUGAUCGGAUUCUUCAAUUUAAGAUCGGAAUUAUUGAUCUUUAUUUAGGUAGUGAAUAGAAUUUUCUAUAAAAAUUCAACAUAUUCCGAUUUUUUUACAUUGUUGAACUAGCAAAUAUCUCAUACCGAUCGUUAAAAAUUAUCAAUUUUGUGAGCUUUUGAUCGUAAGUUAAAUGAUAUAGAAAAAUUAUAAAAUUUGAUUUCUAGAAGUUUUAAAUACUCUUAUUAAUGUUUAACGGGAUGGAUCGUCGAUUCGGAAGUCUUAUUAUUGAAAACAACUUAUGCGUACGAAGUCGAUCGUACUCAUGAGAGUAUAGUAGCCGGACUCUGUUAAUCAAGAUAGCAAAAUAAUAUCUUUUGCAAACCACUUCCUCCUAUAAUCUUUAUUAUUAUUAUAUUACCUCAUGGUUUUCAAAAAGUAUUAUUUUACUAACAUAUAUAGUAAUAAAGAGUUAAUUUCAUACAGAUCCUUACAAAUAUAGCGAAUUACAAAUAUAUUUAUACCAAGUUCAGCUUAUGUUAUUUCCGUAAAAGUCCCAAUAUUUUCAAAUAGGUCCCUGCCGUGAGGAUCCAUAGAAAAAAUUUAUUAACCGUAGGUAAAAUAUUUAAUCUUAGUUAGUUAAUGAGGUAAAUUGACCAAACUCCUCUUUAAUUAACAACUGAGACUUUUGAAAAGACAUAUUUAUAAUAGUAAAAAGAUCAUUUCACUUAUAAAAUAAACAGUAUUUUAACGGUAAUAAACCAGAGGGACAUAUUUGAAAAUAUUAAUACUUUUAUAGGAAUAAUAUAUAAAAGUUGAAUUUUAUAAAAAUAUAUUUAUAAUUUAUUAUAUUUGCAUGGAGCUAUACGAAAUUAAUCCUAAAAUUAUUCGUUGAAAUAAAAAUGUAAUAUAUAUUUUUUAAAUUAUAGAAUAGUAAAAUAAAAAUGUGCCAAACAUUACUGUAAAAAAAAGUCGAGGUUCUCAGUUCUCUCUUUAUAUGAAAACGGAGCAAAAAAUAUUCCCCAAUUUUGAGUGUUUGCUGCAGGUUCGCUCCUCCCCUUACCUAACACCUAACCUACCCAACAGUCAACAUCUCUACUUCCUACUCUCUUGUUAGUAUUCUACCAACCCACCACCUCUUCGCAUCUUCUUAUUCGAUUUCUCUCUCCGAUCUCUUCCCAAGCUCUCAUUUCCAGCUUAAUUUGAGGUGAGAUUUGCAUGACCCCCCAAAUUCUUUUAACCCAUCUUCUGAUUCUCGCUGCAGCAAUUCGAUUUGUUCGUCCAAAACAAGUCGAUUACAGCGUUAUUUUGUUCUUAAUUUUAGCUUUACUCCUUUGGGAUCUGGCCUUUGAUGACACGGAUUUCACUGCUUGUUUCCUUCAAUCUGAGUGCUCGUCGAUUUUUAUUUUUAUUUUUUAAAAAAUUCAUUCCUGCUUUUAUUCUCGAUGAUUAUUCUUUUAUUUAUUUAUUUACUUUCAAUAGCCUUCGCAAUUUAUUAGGCUGAGUUUCCUACUUUGUAGAGGGAUGGGAUGUCUGUUUAUGUUCUUUGUUUUGAUGGAUGUCAGAAACCUGAAUGUCACUUUCGCAGUCCGUUCUGAUGAAACUGAGAUCUCAUUUAACAAUGGACCUGCGCUGGUGCGGAGAACGGUGUUCUUAAUAUUUAUAUUCAAUACAUGAGGUCUAAAUUCAAUAUUUGAAUUAAACGGGAGGAAAUUAAAUAAUAUGGACUCGAGACUUUUCUGUAAGUCCAAGAUGUGGACUUGAAUUACAUGAGACUCGGAUUCAGGACUUUCUGCUCAAAUAAUACGUUUUCACAAUCCAUCCAUUUGGAACUCGUGCAGGUCCUUGAUUCGGCGUGUUGCUUCCGAGUAGACUAAUUACACGAGAUGGCUCGAGAACAACUAAGUCCAGAGGAGGUACUUUGUAGAUCUUCUUAAUUCAGGGGUGUCGAUAAAAAGGGGGUUCCAUAAACUAACUAAACAUAACUGGACUGAUCUUUUUAUAGGUUGUUAUGGGAGAAGAGGUCAACAAUGUGAGGUUGAUCACUUUAAACCGGCCUCGCCAAUUGAAUGUCAUCUCAUCCAAAGUGGUGUGCUAUUCAUUUCUAGUCUCAUCCUCGGCGCCGAUGUUGUAGCAUUUGUUUGCAACUUCAAUUGAUGAUAUAUGUGUUACCGCAGGUUUAUCUUGUAGCUCAAUUUCUGGAGAAAUGGGAGAAAGAUGACGAUGCCGAGCUGAUUAUUUUCAAGGUAGAUGUUAUUUCAUUAGGAAAGAAAAAUAAGGAUAUGUUGUUCUAUUUUUACGCUUUACAGGGCGAUAAGAUUAUUAUAUAUACGUUCAACGUGUUUCACAUAACGUACAGGGAGCAGGCCGUGCUUUUUGUGCCGGUGGGGAUCUAAAGAUGUUCUAUGAAGGAAGAUCAGGUUACGAAGAAUAGAAUAUGAUUCCAUUUCUCGUACAAAGGCCAAUUUUAGGCGUUGAUUUCGUAUUUUUAAUGCUUUAGAGUGUAGAGGAGUUGCUUAUGAUAUGUUACUUUCCAGAUGAUUCCUGUCUCGAAGUUGUGUACAGAAUGUACUGGCUUUGUUACCACAUUCACACGUACAAGAAAACCGCGGUAAUAUUUUUAUUUUUCGGUAAUAGAAAGUUAUGAUUCUUUUGCUGAGAAUUUGCUGUAUUUGUCAAGUAAAACGUUUUGACCUCAAUUAAUAUUUAAUUUCAUCAGGUUGCUCUCGCUCAUGGAAUUGUUAUGGGUGGAGGGGGAGCUAUGGUAGUACCGUUGAAGUUUUCUGUAGUCACUGAGAAAACAGUGCGUAUUACUAGUGUAGAAAAUUUCUCCUUUAUCUUUAUCGUUUUUUUUUUUUUGUGUCGCAUCUGGUAGUUAUCAUCAUAAUUUAAGUAAAAGUGAUUUUUACUAAAUUAACUUUUUAACCGUCAUACUUUGUUUUUCAUUUAACGUACAGGUGUUUGCGCUGCCUGAAGCAGGUGUUGGGCUCCACACAGACUGUAGCUUCUCAUAUAUUCUUUCUCGACUACCUGGACAUCUGGGUGAGCAACAACUAGAAUUAGAAUUUGCAAUCUGCGAUAAUGAACAAAUAUAAAUAGAAUUACAAAAUCUUUGUCAUGUUUACUUUCAAAUAUUUGCUUUAUCGUUAGCAAAAGCUUCCUAAAAUAUUAAUUUAAUUUUUUUUAUCAUUAUGCGGCUGUUCUGAUCUACUGCUUGGGUUCUUUACAUUGUAGGUGAAUAUCUUGCUUUAACUGGUGCAAGACUGAAUGGGAAGGAAAUGGUCGCUGCUGGUCUUGCAACUCAUUUUGUUCCCUCAGAUGUAAGAUUAGCACUCAUUCGCAUUUUCCUUGGUGAUGUUUAUUAUUAUAUGUUUCUGUUCUUAUUUAGACUUUUGUAGAAAUCAUUGUGGAAGCGUUCUCACUGCAGUGACUUCAUUUAGAUUCCUGAACAAUUAGUUCCAUUACUGCUUAUGCUGAUAUUUUAGUACGAAUCAACUGAUGCUUGAUUUACACGACAGAGAUUGCAUGAGCUUGAGCAACGAUUAGUAAGUCUGGACUCUGGCGAUGCCCCUACAGUCAGAGCAGUAAUUGAAGAAUUCUCCUUGGAUGUCCGACCAGAGGAAGAAAGUAUCUUAAACAAGUAAACAAUUUAAACUAUGCAUUAAGUACAUGAUUAAUUCUUCUAUAGAUGUAAUAGACAGAGUAUAAAUUAGCUAAUACUUGCAUGCUACCUGUGUCUUUCUAGGCUUUCGACAAUCGACAAAUGCUUCUGUGGGGAGUCUGUGGAGGAGAUAAUCAAAUUGUUUGUAAGUGUCUUGCUUAACUUCCAUUUAGAAUUUGUUUUUUCCGCUUGCAAUGCCAUCAUGACAAUAUAUAUAUUCACAAGGCUUUGUUGUAAGUACUAUUCUAACAAUUUGUUACCUAUAUUCUUUCUCCAUUUUUUUUGUGUGUGUAAUCUUAUGUUUGGGCAUCUUGAGCAUUCUUUCUUUCUAUUUCGCUUGGACCUGAUUUAAAAGUGCUUUGUCGAAAGUGACCAUUUUGAUGGUUUGGUACCCGAAAAAAUUUCAAAAGCACUCUGGAGCACUACUCUUCCAAUUCUACAUAAUGCUGGGAAUUUCCACUCUGAAAGCAGUGGCUAUACUGCUCUAGAAUAUUGAGUUUUACAAUAAUUGGGUGAGUAAAUUUCCUUAUGAAUAACUCUCCAAAGUCCUGAACUAGGAAAGGUCAAGUUAAGAGCAUAUUUGUUUAAUUUGCUGUGUGACUUUGCAUGUUGAUGCGUUUUAGCUUAGAGCUGUACUUGCACCUGUAGACACUUAUAUAUCACGAAGGGAAAACUAUGAAGCUCUUCUGGUCUCCUUGGUAUAAUUUAUUCCAUUAAUGCAACUGUAAAGCAACUUCUCUUGAAGUUCAUCAAUUUUGCUCUGUACCAGAUAUAUGAUUGCUUCAUAGAUUGAUCUUUGUUUUGGCUCAUUCUUAGGCCUAGUUUGGUAGUGAGGUUCCUCUUGGGCCUAGUUUGGUAAUAUGGUGGCUAAAAUCACCACUUUUAUACUUUGAAAAGCAAAAAAAAAAAAAAAAAACAAACAAAAAAUCUAAAAGCACUUCCAAUCUUCUGUCCUUCAAUGCUAUAAAACUGUGGUGGCAACCAUCACCGUAGAAGCAUGAAUCAAUUGAAAUGGGAAUUUCUGAAAUCCUUCUGCUUUCUAAUUUUUUAAGACAAAAUAGGAAUCAAUUGAAAUGGACUUCUAUGUUCUAAUUAACGAACAAUUUUUUAUUUUUUAUUUUUGCAGGAAGCUGAAGCUAGUAUCGAAGGAAAUGGAUGGAUAGCACCAGUGCUUAAAGGCUUAAAACGAUCAUCUCCAACUGGGUUAAAGAUCAUACUAAGAUCGGUAUAAACUCCCUUCUCAUCUUUGUUAAAACUUCCAACAGUAUUUGUUUCUGCCGUAUAUAUAAAAAGCGUUGACUAAUUGGGAAAAAAAAAAAGCAAUAUGGAAACUAAAUGUAAAAAACCAAAUUGCAUUCACAAUCUCAUAAUGGCUUUUGUUUGAAUUUGAAGUACCAUUAAUGUCCGUACUCUUUUAGCCUCUUGCACCAUAUGUUUCAUACAGUGGAAUAAUUAAUUACACUUCUGUUUCUGUUAACAUAUAAGAAAAUAAAUAUAAUGUUGUAUGGUUUUGCUCUCUUCAUUCAGAUUAGAGAAGGUAGGAAGCAGAGUUUGCCUGAAUGUUUGAAGAAAGAGUUCAGACUUACCAUGAAUAUCCUAAGAUCAGUUAUUUCUGGAGAUGUUUAUGAGGUAUGGCUAAUUCUUAACCUGCCAGUUUAUGUACAUGUUUGCUUAAAAUUUAUUUGUUUACUUGCUUCAUGAAGGGCAUCCGAGCUAUCAGCAUCGACAAAGACAAUGCCCCAAAGGUACAUACCCCUUUCUCUCUCUCUCUUAAGCGAAGGUCAAAUAUGUCGAUUAUAGUGUAGAGUACAUGUGUUGGUUCAAUAUGAGAUUUUAGGAGCAUAAAAAUUUUGUGAACAUAGUUUUUAAGAGUUUGGUAUAUAGUGUGAUGAUCUAUGUAGAUUUUCAAACUUAAUGCUUGGUCAUAUAUCUUGUGAUACUAGUGCUUCAUGUCCCUUACAGUUUUGUGAUGACCAGAUGCAUGCGUAAGAGGACUCGAGUAUUAUUAUUCUUAUUUCAAAUAGUUUAGUUGCUAAAAAAUCAAUUAAGUGGAUAAUCAGUUUAUGUUUCUCUGCCAAAUCUAUUGCUAAAGAUUUAUCAUGCGUGUACUCGUGCAUACAGUAUAUAUAUGGACAUGGCGUAUUUGUUUCUUUCUCUCAUUUGUUCAUUUUAAUUGCACAGUGGAACCCACCAACCCUCAAGGAAGUGAGUGAUGAAAACAUUGAUCGCAUUUUCAAGCCAUUCAGCGCUGAACUAGAGCUACCAAUCCCAUCUGAUGAAGAAGAGUCAUGCAGGUCAUACUUUGUAAAAUUGUCCCCUCAUCUACACAAUUUAUCGUUACUUAUUUUUAAUCCUUCCCCUCUCCUCAUUUCAUAUGUUGAUUGCUUGACUUCAAUUUGCAGAUGGGAUGGGAAAUACGAAAACUCGGUCUACUCAAAAGCGAAAGAAACACAAUGAGCCCUAUCGAAAAGAAAUUUAGCCUUUGUUGUGUGCUUCUUACUCAUUUGAUGCAUAAGCUGAAUGAUUAUGUAAAGCAAUGUCAUAUGAAAACCGAAGAUGGUGAUCCUCCUGUUGAGUUACAAAUUUGAUUUUCCCAAUUUAUACAUGAAGUGGAACUAAUCUUGCAGAAUCUGAGCAUAACAUACUCUUGUUAUUUUAAUCUUGCAAUCAACAAAAUACAUAUGCAGCACUGCUUUUACUAUUUCCAUUUUUUGUCCCAAAGAGCUGCUAAAUUCCAGGAGCUUUUUAUUAGUUUCAGGUUUAAGCUCUCCAACAUUGUAUUUCAUCUAUUCCAAGCCCAAGCAACAGUACAAUCAGUUAGCAGCAACUGUUCCAAUUCUUUUUUUUGUUAGAAUCCUUUCAAAUGCUUCUUCUUGCAGAAGAAUUAAAGGUCUCAUGUUGAAUAUAAAUAUGAAAAACAUCGUUCUCUCUUAAUUUAAGAAUUUAGAGAGCAAAAGGUUCUGAGUUUAAACCCCUUUUGUCUUCUUGUUUAGUUUAAAUUUUUCCCUCAUCCAAUUUAAUUUUAUGUUUUGAAUAUAUAUUAAAAAUAUCGUUUUUUGACAGCUUAAUUUUUGAAAAACUAAGGUUGUUUUACAUAAUUUAAUAGUCUCAAAUUGAAAUUUUGUUUUUGUAGCUUAGAAAUUCAUUCGACUUUUUGCAAGAGCUAUGGGAUUUAUGUUUGCUACAUGCUUUACAUAUAUGCUGAUGAGAUUAUUAUUUUUUAUUAAUUCUAUCAGGUUACUGUAACUAUUAUCUCUAUUCAUUAAUUAAAUUACCAUCCUCACGAUUUGUAUUGAUCAUUUAAUCAAAACUUUUUAUGUCACUGUGUUCGUGAAAUGAUAUAAAUUUUUUUCUCGGAUACAAGUAUUACCUACAUGACAAUUAAUAUACCAUACGACCCAAAUCAGAGGAGAAUUUCCAUACACAUCUCAACCUUACAAAGUUUGUAUAACAUGUGGAACAUCUAGGAGAAUAUUUGGACAUGCAAAAAAGAAAAAAAAGCCACUCUUUAAUUGUUCUUAUCAUGUGGAAAAAGAUGCCAAAUUAGGUGAAAUGUCAACUUUUAUUAGAGCAUCUUCAGACUAGGAAAAGCUCACUAGGCUUUGGGUAAACUUCACCUUUUUCUUCUGUGGUUUAGCUCAUUUUCGAUCACUUAGGCUCUCUGCGGGUUAAAAGAUUGUACUUAAUUGUCCUAUUGUUUAGCUCAUUUUUUAAUUUAUCAUCAUAUGGUUCAAAAGUUAAACUUAACAAUUCUGUGAUUAUUCAAAUAGUUUACUUUGCUAUCCCUAUUCGAUAGUAAAAUUUUCAGGUAAAAUAUAAAUAAAACCGCAGAAUUGUUUUUUUUUUUCUUUUGUUUUGUUUUUUUUUUUUUUUUGAGAGAGAGAAAGGUAGCACAUUACCUGCUUCAUUCAUUAAGAAAGUGAAAUUAGUUAUAUGAAGUGAGGCAGCUAGGGCCUCAAAAAAGCGAAAAAUAGAAGAAAAUGGGGCGCGAAAAAAAAAGAAGAAAAAGAGAGAGUAAGAAUUAGCUUCACCCUGCUCUACAGGACUCGGCCCACUCUUUUGCCAACACUCCAAUAAAAUUAGCUGUUCGGGAAACAUCAUUGGGUGGAAACCGCAGAAUAGUUAACUGUAACUUUUUGAGCUAUAUAAUACCACAUUAUGACAAAAUAAAAAAGAGCUGAAUCAUAAGCAGGCAAAGUAAAGUUUAUGCUUUUUUUUGGUUGUUGUUUUAAUUUUAAAGCAAUAGGAUUAGUCACCCUUCUGCGAGCUUUUCAAUGAGCAUUCUAUAGCCAAAAAGUAAAACGAAUAAUGCUACCAGUAUAAUCGAAAAUAGCUUAGAAGCACAGAGAUCUCUGUAUUCCUAAAAAUACAGCAGCCCUUUUCUCUUUCUCUCUCUCUCUCUCUCUCUCUAAUAUAUAGGAGGGCAGUUAGGCUAUUGUCAUACAAUAAGAUUUAAGAUAUAAAGUUUCACCACAAAUUAAUUAACUACAUUUUUGCAAGGGUCCACGUAACAAAUCCACUUAUAACUAAAAGGAAAACUAGCUACGUACUAACUCCCACGAUUCUCAAACAAAAGCAAAACAAAAGAAAAGAGCAGUUGACCAACAUUGCGGAUGAUUUUGUUGGACCACAUCUUUAUUUUUAGCUGCUUUAGUCUCAAUAAUUCUAAUUAGAGGGACCCUACUUGCAAUAUUAAUUCUUUGUUCUCUUGUGUUAGAUAUGACUCGAAAUCUAUUAUCGACUCAGGUUCGGAUUUACGACUCGCUGACAGCUUCGCGGUACGGAUCGGAUCCGAAACCUGUUAUGAAUUUUUCUUUUCGUUUUUGUCCUAGAUGUGUGUGAUCGUGGUUGCCUGUAAUCGGAAGAACAUUGUAUUCCCUUUCGUUUUGAUAGUGAAGUUCUCUCCUCUCUCGCUUGUGGUUUUUUCCCUGCAAAAAGUUUUCUGCGUAAAUCUGUGUGUGUUAUAUUUAUUUUCUGCUUGUGAUUUGAGUGUUUCGUAUUUGCCAUUUUUCGUUUUCCGUGCAUUUUGUGGUAACAUCUUCACACCCACAAUCAGGUCAUUAAUUUCUUUUGUUCUUUAGCAGUUGGUGAGAGAGAGAGAGAGAGAACAUGGCCUCACACAUGACUAUGCUUUAAAUAAGCUCAUGAGUCUGGUUAUAGUCAGUGUUCUGAAAAUCAGGUCGAAUCGGUUUGAUCACGGCUCUAUUUCUAGGCCGGUUCCAUUUGAUUCAUAAAACCGGAAAGCUUUAAAUUCCGUAUUGACCCAUUAAUUCCGUAUUGACCCAUUGAAACACCGUUUAAACCAGUAAACUGUUGAACUAGUCUGGUUUUAGUUGGACCAAUCUGAAUUAUCAUUUAUUAAAGAUCAUCGAUUGGACGGUUCACAGUUCAGAAGUGGUUCGACAGGUCGAACUAUUGGUCGAAUCAGCUCCGGGUUUAAAACAUUAAUUGGUUAUCACUUCAUUAUCUAGAAAAGGUAAGUAAUUAAGAGUAAAAGAUGGCACGAAUUGUCGUGUGAUUAAUUAUUUAUUCGAAAUAAUCCAAAAACUUAAAUUGAUAAAUAAUUUAAGAAACUCUUCACGUUAUGUACUUGCCAAGCUAGAUUCGAAGCUUUUGUUUAUCAUACAUCACAUAGUUUAAAUUGUUUACUUAGUUUUUUUUUUUUUUUGUUCUUUUUUAUUGUCAUAUAAAUAACUGCUGCUUUCGGAAGUAAAAUGUUGAACCAAUACAUAUUAAAGUUCAGACAAUUAGUAGCCUAUGGUCGUCAAACUAUUGGCUCUCAGGACAUAUUUGGCUCAUGAUUGUAAUAAGAAUGGGAAACAUAACUGGAUUGUAUUGGAAUGAAAAACUCUAAUAAUGAAUCAUCUAAAAAUAUUUGAUUUAUUAUUGUAAUAAAAAUCGGAAUGGACAUCGAGAUUUUUAAAUAGUGGUUUUGGUUAAGAGACAGAAGAGUGAUGAAGAGAGAGGAGGGAGAGGUGUUUGUGAGAAAAGACUUUUGAGUGAUUUACUUUAGAAUGAGUCAAUCCGGAAUCUAAAGUUGGAUUUGGCCACAAAUAGAUUGAAUCAUAUUCCUAUCUUAGAGUGAAAUAAAAAUCAAAAUCUGACUCCUGUAAAACAAACAACAACUAUAAGAAUUCUAAUUCUACAAGCACUGAUAAAUUAUAGUCUAAAAUAGAUAAACCAAGCAAGCCCUGAUAAAUAUAUUUAUUCAGAAUUCUAGGUCUCGGCCUGAUAAUUUAUGUAAACCCUCUAUUCUUUUAGUUUUGAUCAAAUUCCUAACAUUAUGCGUAAAUGUUUUCAAGUUCUCCAAACUUUCUAUGUCAUAGGUUUGUUUCGUGGGAAUUUGUUAAUUGGCCUAGAAGAUACCAUAGGAUUAUUUCUCAUUUCCUUCUAUUCAAAUAGGUAUUGAACUCUCUCUCUCUCUCUCUCUCUAUAUAUAUAUAUCUUUGCAAUGCCAUUACGUAUGGUAAGUGGAAAUAUACCUACUAUAUAUAUGUGGUACGAUUUUCUCUUGCAUCAUACUAAGAUCCACUUGCCUUUAAUUUGUUUAAAGAUUUAAGUUCGCAUGUUCUUUUAUAUAUAUAUAUAUAUAUAUGAGAGAGAGAGACCGGUCUCUUCUUUGUUAUUGCACUGAACUUAAAAAGUGCCAAAAAAAAAAAGAGCAACAUUUUAUCUUCUCCACAGCAAUGCCUGCAACAUGUGGAGGGAAAGGAAAUGUCACAAUAUAUGCAGCUCUGAUGCUUCUUCUUCUUCUUCUUCUUGUUCUUCUUCUUUCGGCAUCAGUAGACGCGGCGCGAAACUCUUCCGAAAUAUAUGAAAACCAAAGGACCAGCCAAAACAACCCUCUGAAGGUGCAUGCUCAAUUUUUGGCAUUUAUCUUUCUAUUUCAAUUCUUUUUGGUUUUUAGUUUUUGCUGCUUUGAUGACAGAAAAAAAAGCAAAAAAAAAAAAAAAAGAAAAAGAAAAAGAAAAGAAAAAAAAGUUGAGUGACUGUUUUGAAUUUAUUUGCAGCUGACUCCUCAAAUUUCAGUUCAAAUUAAAGUCCAUGCUUUCCUCCUCUGGGCUUCCUUUGGUUUCUUGAUUCCUGUUGGAGUACUUAUCAUCAGAAUGUCAAACAACACUAAAUCUGCUAAAAGUCUGAAAAUUCUCUUCUUUUCUCAUGUAAUUGUACAGGUAAUAAUUAAGCUCAUUCUCUUAUGGCUACCUUUUGGCUUCAUAUGGUAUGAAAAUUUACUUGCACUUUGAUCCGCAUCUCAAUUAUCUCCUGCGUAAGAAAAUUUGCAUUGAUUUCAACCUGCAUUUUAUUAUUGUCUCAAAUUAAAUAGGUCUAAAAGUUUGGAAUUUAUUGACUGAAAUAGGUUCAACAUUUUAUCCCAAAAUAAUAAAUCUAAGAGACUAAUAAGUUGAGUAUAAGGGUUGUGAUCCAUAAUAAAUCUAACAGCAAGAGACUCAAUAAUAAAUCCAACAUCAAGAUGAAUCGAAUCAUGUCAAAACUCUUGAGCACUAUGACUGAGCUUUUAAAUAUGAUGAGUUAGUCUUUUUUAUCAGUACGUUCUUUUGGAACAAUUAAUUAGCAUUUACAGUCCACAUGAAAGUAUGUUGAGUUCAGAAUGAAAAACUUUACAAAUAUUGAUUGCCAUGUAAUGUAGGUUUUAUAUUUGAAAAAUAGAUAUAAUUAAAACCUAUAUAUAUGUAUAUAUAUAUAUAUAUAUAUAUAUAUAUACCAGGAAUAAUUGAAAUGCGGGCUAAAGUGCAAGGCAUGUUUUGUAAUUUAGGCUUCUUAUUUAUUUAUUUUUUUGGCUAAUAGCAAUUUAUUGAUCUAACAUCAUUUUUCUUUAUGCUGAAACUUUCGAACUGUUCGAUAGAUAAUAUCAGUCCUUCUUGCUAGUGCUGGAGCAAUUUUGUCAAUCAAAAACUUCGCGAACUCGUUCGAGAACACUCAUCAAAGAAUGGGUUUGGCACUCUAUGGAUCUAUAUGGCUUCAAUCAGUGUUUGGGUUCUUUCGACCGAAUCGGUAUGCUAAACAAUCUUUAUUAUUAGAAAUAAUUUCAACAUAGUGAAAACUUAAUUAGAUACUCUCCACCGAAUGAUCCUAUAGUUUCAAGUGUAGCAUUUCGUGUUCGUACAAUUGUUUUCUUAGUUUAUGUAAUGAUACAUCAUUAAAUUGCCGAUAGGAGUUUAUAUAUAUGGCAAUUAUGUGACUCAUCAAAAUGAGAUAAAUAAUAAUUUAAUUGCUUAUUCCUAUUUAUUCUACUAAUUCAUUGUGUUUGAGUAAAGUGGUAAGGCAUGGGAUGGGAAUUUGUGAGGACAUGGCCUUGGUCUUAGUUGGGAGGUUGCGGUAUAGGAUAUAGGAGGCCAAACUCCCACUUCUUCUUUUCUAGGAGAAAUAUAACAAGCGAUCAGUUUCACUUAUUUUUGUAAAGAAAUGAACUCUGUUAAAAAUGCAAAACAAUUAGGCUUCAAACUUGCGACUUUAAAUAUCAAUCAUUAAGUUCUUAGCCAACUGUCUAUUAUUGAGAAUCUAGAAUUCAUUCUCACUUGUAGGUCCAACGGCCCAGAAUACGAAUAUAGGAGGUCAAGCGUAGGUCCAACGGCCCAGGGUACGAAUAUAGGAGGUCAAGCGCUCAAUUAUCAAAUGUCUCAAAGUGAAUCAAGUAAGGAUUAGCGACUAGUUGUAAUGGGACAUUAAAAGUUGACUCUUAGCAGAAAAGAACUACGAUUGUAGGAUAGCAAAAUGCUAUGCUUUAAACCACAGAACGGAAAAGUAGCACAUAAAAGGGUUUCUGAAGUUUCCCAUCUUAUUUAUUGCUUUCCAUGCAUGCUCCUAUUUUUAAGUUUAUGAGCUUUGCUUUCAUAUUCUCAGGGAACUUAAGCUAAGGAGGGUAUGGUACUUUGUGCAUUGGCUUCUAGGAACUGGAAUUUCCAUUUUGGGGAUAGCAAAUACAUACAUUGGUCUACAAACCUACCAUGAGAGAACCACAAGAAGUGUGAAGUUGUGGACAACUAGUAUAAAAUCCGCGCUUCGCUGCGGCUAACGGUUAAUUUUACAUUAUAAUUAAGUAAAAUUAUAAUGAAUAAAACAAAAAAAAAUAUAGUUAAAAAAAUAUAAACAAACAAAGAUUUAAGAAAAAAAAUACAUGCCCAGAAAAUAUUAUAGAGCAUUUAAUCAUUUUUAUUUAAUAAAAAAAAAUUUACCUAGAUAUUAUAUUUUUUUUCUUAAAUCUUUGUUUGUUUAUAUUUAAGAUUAAAUAAAGUAAAAACAAAUCAUAUGCUCUAAAAAAGUUGCGACAAAAAAGAAUAAAAAUUAAAGUAAAAAAAAAAUAAUCAGAGAUUCACCUAGAUAAUAAUAUUUUUUAUUAUAAAAAAAAUAUUUUGAAAUUUUCUAUUGAGAAAAAAUAAUAAAAAAAAGAAAGAAUAUCAAAAAUAAAAAAAUCAUAAUAGAUAAGAAGUUGUGAAGUUAUACUUCGGACCUCACUUUUUUUUUUCUUUUUUUGAGGGUAAAUAAAAUCUUUGAAAUAUUUCAAUUGGUACAUCAGCAUUCUCUCCUCCUUCUAUACAAUAUGCUGAAUCAUAUGUUCAAUAGGCAAUCACUCAUUCUUUUCAUCUUAAAAUAUAAAAAAAAAAUUAACAUAACACAUAAUAUGUUCAUCAUUUUGUUAAAAUUUUAUCUUUAAAAAAAAUAAAAAAAUAUGUAGAUCCGGAUAAAGAAGUGGUCGGUCGGUUGCAGUAGGUUCGGGUUAACUCGUUCGAACUCGGACUCGAAUAUUAUAAGAUUGUGAGAGAGAAACCUACGCGGCUCGGCUCGAUCGAACUUCGCUUAAUUCCCUCUCGCCCUUUUCAAAACAAAACCCUUCUCUCUCUCUCUCUCUCUCUCUCUCUCUCUCUCGCUUACGACGGGAAGCUUCUGCGGGAGCGAGAAGCCGCUGCGCGAUGAAGCAGAUCGGGUUCCGCGGCGCGGCGUCGUCCCCUGCAACUCCCGGAGCAACCGGGGACCCCCGGAACCCUAGCCGGACCCCUCUGCCGUCGGAGGUGGCGCCGUGACGCUCGGCCCCGCGCAGCUGCUUUAUAUUUGUUUUUCUUUAUUAUGGGUAUAUGAGAUGAGGCGAGGUAAGAUCGAGGUGAGGUGAGGUGAGGCGAGGCGAUCGGCGUUGACGCCGCCGAAGCCGCCUUGCUGUCUGCCGCUGUUGCCGGCAAAGCGGCCACCGCCGUCCUCAUCAUCUAUUUCAAUUGUUUCAAUUUUGCACCUCCACCAACACACCUAGAAAAGAAGAAAGAAAUAAAAAAAAAUACAAAUUAAGAAGUAAAAGAAAUGAGAGUACAGAGAAGAAGAAAACAGAGAAGAGUAACAAAAGGAAAAAGAAAAAAAAAGGAAGCAUGCAUGGCCCUCUCUUCUAUUCUCCAAUUUUUCGAGUUCAUGAGAUGUUCGUUUCUAUUCUAUUUAACAAAUAAAUGAUCUGAGAUUGGAUUCAUCAUUCCACAGUUAAUAUAGGAUAAAAUGGCAAUUGAGGAAGAUGAAGAACCAGAACAUAUAAAAUUUGAUGCAAGAACUAAACUAUUUAGGAGAGUAUACAAAGUACAGGUGUACGAAGCUAAGCUCUCGAUUCUUAAUAAAACAGAAAGAAGAAAAGAAAAUUAAAAGUUGUGAAUCGAUUGAGAUAGAUAAUAUAUAUAUAUAUAUAUAUAUAUAUAUAUAUAUAUAUAUAUAUAUUGCAAGCUCUUAAAAACAGCAGAAAAUUUUAGAAUGGAACGAAACAUACCUGAAUCUCUGUGAUGUCGCAGACGCAAAUCUGCCCCUUGUAGAAGAUUGUAAUCUGCUUAUUCUACUGCUGCUUCUCUUGACACUUCUCUUUUAUUUCGAAACAUCUCGCAUCGACAAAAACAUCAAUUAUAGUAUCAUCAUCAAAUAAUCUAUAUAUCUAUAUAAAAAGAUUAGAAAGAAGUAAACAUCAUGCAUGACCUUAAUUAAAGAGAUCAAAAUUUAUGAGAAUAUAAUGAAUCUCACACACAUAUAUAAAAGCCACCAAGGAAUUGCUUCCAUUCACCACCUAUUUAGCCAAUCCUACCAUUUAUUACAUAAAAGCCACCAAGAACUAAAAAGAAGAAAUCCCUCCUUUCCUCUUCACACCAGCAGCAACAGAGCGGAAGCGGCCGCGGCGGCCUUGGCGGCGGCGGCCUUUCUGACGUAGCUCACACGCUCCCACCGUGUCUGCAGGCGCCAAGCACGGCUAAGGCCCGAGAUGGCGAGCUGCGGCCGCGGCCCUGCCCGGCCUGGCUCGAGAUGCUCGCGAAGAUUCCCAGCCGGAGCCGGCGCUCAAAUCCCCGCGGUGUGACUCGACCAACACCAAGUUCUGCUAUUUCAACAACUACUCAAUCUCGCAGCGCCUUACUUCUGCAAGACCUGCCGCCGCUACUGAUCCGCGGCGACACCCCAACGUCCCUGUAAAAAUUAUUUUUUAAUUUUUUAAUUUAAUUUUUUUAGGGUACGUGAGAUGUUUACAGUAGUUUAAAAAAAACUGGCCUCCGUCCGUCUCGUCGUCGUCGUCGUCGUCGUCGCGGUCGUCGUCGGCGGCGGCGCGGCGGCUCGGGGUCGGGGCAUAACGCGCGCACGACGCCGACUCCGGAGGAGCCGCCCGUGUGGAACUCGUCAUGGCGGCGAUCAAGCGGUCCGCAGGCGAACCAGCGGCGCAACCCGGACCUUCCACCUCUACCAGCAGCAAGCGCGCGGCGGCGGCGGCGGCGUCGUCGAGCUCAACGUUCUCGGGUGAAGGUGGAGCUGCAGCAGUCGGUGCUCGCGAUCCUCGACGACCCGUGUGUGAGCCGCGCCGCGGGGAGGAAAAAAUCGGGGGUGGGUGGGGUGUGGGGGAGGGGGGGGGGGAGGAGAGAGAGAGAGAGAGAGAAAAAAUCUUGGGGCGGAGAGGGCGGGUGGGGACAGAGAGAGAGAGAGAGAGAAAAAAAAUCUGUGGUGGGGGGAGAGAGAAAGAGAGAGAGGGGUGGGGAGAGAGAGAGAAAAAAUCCGUGGUGGGGGAGAGAGAAAGAGAGAGAAAAAAAAUCUGGGGUAGAAAAAAAUCUGAGGGAGAAAAAUCAAAUACCACAAACACAGGUGCGGAGACGCCACGUGGAAUGGUGAGCAAAGAGACCUGCCACAUAGGAUUUGUAGAAAGUGUCAAAUAGUAUAGUUAAUAGAUUCUCUUCACUUUGGAGGUCACCAUAGUUUCUUUUAUCUAUCUUUUACAAGAUAGAUGGGAUUAUUUGAUGAAUAAGCAAGGAUUGGUUGGAGGUGAUGAGGAGAUUAGACCUAGAUUAUAUAACAUUUCCAAACUUGAUCAAAUAGCUAUUAGGUCAUAGAGAAUUUGAAUGGUUAUUUCUUUUUCAAAAAUCCAUAUUUUGCCUCCUUAAAAUUUCAAAAAUAUUUUUAGAAAAUACAAUUUAAAUAUAGAGGGCGAAAUGACCAAAUUGUCCUUACCUUUUCUAUGCAACAACUUGAAAUAUUGAGGAGGUAAAAUGUCGGUUUUUAAAAGUUAGGAAAGAAAAGUGAAAAACACGAGUGUUUAUAAUUUUUUUUAUAAUAAUUUGGUCAACAAAAUUGACAUGAUCACAAGUAAAAAAAAAUGUGGGCUAAUAAAGGCCUAUAGGCAGGGGUGAAAAGCAAAUUGGGAAGCGAAUAUACGUCGAAUGCUAAAUUUUUAUUAUCAUAUCCGACAAAAACGAAUUUUGAUUUAGAUAUGAGCUGCAUUUGUAUUCGAAAAAUAACAUAUAUUAAUUAACGCACAUAUAUAAAUACGAAUUAGAUUUUUUUUUUUUUUGAGAGAUAGAUAGCACGCUACCCGCUUCGUUUAUUUCAUUUAGAAAUAAAUUUAGCUAGAAAUGUGAAUCAACUAGGAUUUGAACCUGGGUCUCGGAUACUAACCAUCAAGCCCUUUGCCACAUGCUCUAAAGACAGUCGGUAAAUAUGAACUAGAAUUAGCGCAAAUAUGACACAUAAUACAAUUAAAGAUUCAAACACAUGUUCAAAUUUCGUAUAUCAAUAUUUUAUUCAAUAAAUUUUAAUAUUAAAAAUUUUACGAUUAAACACGAAAUAAAAUAAAGAAAAAUAUGAUAGAAAACCACUUUGUCCCCUAUAAUAUAUAUUAAUAUAUUUUUUUUUAUCUCUUAUGAAUGAAAGCGAUCAAAUAUGAUCGGAUUUUUUAAGAAACCAUAUUGCAUCCAUGUAUUUUUUUAUUUUCUUUUGAGACGCGAAUUCGGAUACAAAUAUAUGUGGAAUGCUAACUUUUGCCAUCUAUUUGUGCGUCUUAUUAAAUUCGGUGUUGGAUUUGAUCGAAAUUUAUCUUUAACCACUCUCACCCCUAUCAAGGGGUAAAAUGAAAUUUUAGACACAAUUUAUUAAUUUUGAAUUGGUUUUUAUUUAGGGGCAUUCAAAAAUAUUUCUAGCAUUUAUGGGGGUAUUCGUGGAAUUUUAAAUUUUGAAGGGGCAUAGAUGAAAUUAUAAUUUUUUUCAAAGGGCAUUUACGAAAUUAUCUCAAUUAUUAUUGUAUGCUAUAUUAGGGGACAUUUGGAUUGCGUUAUUUACAAUUUCUAGGUAUUAAAAGAUUAAAAUUGUAUAAUUUUUAUAUUUGGUUCGUACAGUCAUUUCAUCAAUGUUAAAAUUAUAAGAUUAGUGUGUUUGAUUUAAUAAUAAAAUUCCAGCAAAAUUCCUUCAAUCCUAAAACGGUGCUCACGUCGAUGCCUCCUCCGUGUCCGUCGUAAACAUGUUCGACAAAAUGCCCCAACCAAAUUCAACCUACAUGUUUACCACAACCACCUCACUCUACAGAGCACCUCACAGCACCAAGGCUCCACAGAUCUUUAAAACACAUUAACCCACCCCAAAGCCCAGAUUUUUUUUAAAAAAUUCCAUGAUAGCCCGAUUCAUGCGCAAUUCGCACAAUUCGGAAGCUCUAAAGCGGUUCAAGCAGUUUCAGAUUUGUAAAUUUGUCCCAGAUGAGUUUGUGCUCGCAAAAGCGCUUUCCAUCGCUGCCGACACUCAUGCAUUUGAUGAAGGAGCCCAAAUCCAUGCUUUUGUGGUUAAAAAGAAUCUACCGAUGGAUGUCGCCGCGAACAAUUCACUCCUCAAUUUGUACUUCAAAUGUGGUAAUGUAACCUAUGCAGAGAAGGUGUUUGAUGUAAUGCCUGUGAGAGAUGUGUAUUCGUGGACUGUGAUGGUUUCUGGGUAUUUAGUGAAUGGAGCAGUAGAGAAGGCUGCGGAGUUGUUCGACACAAUGCCGUGUAGAAACACGGUUUCUUGGAACGCGAUGAUCAACGGAUACCAGAAAGAAGGGUGUUAUGAGAUUGCGUUGGUGCUCUUUAACAAAAUGCGGGUGCAAGGCGAAGUUCCUAAUAAGUUUACGUUUCUCGCUGUUCUUAAGGCGUAUACUUGUCUUCAAUGGUUAGAGAAUGGUAAGGUAGUUCAUAGUUUGCUAGUGAAAUCGGGGUGGUUAGAGAACGCCCUUGUCGUGUGCACGUUGAUGGAUAUGUAUGCCAAAUGCGGUGGUCUUAUGGAUGUUCGUACGGUUUUUGAAGAGAUUAAAGAGCACAAUGUGGUCUCGUGGUCGAUAUUAAUGGCGGCUUAUGCUCAAAAUGGCAAUAUUUUGGAGGCUGAAUGGAUUUUUCACGGGAUGAUGGAAAGGAAUGUGAUUGCUUGGAAUGUCAUGAUUUCUUGUUAUGUGAACAAUGGUAUGGAAGAUAAAGCAUUAAAUCUCUUUAUCGAAAUGAUCAACGGCGAAAUAAGUCCAAAUUGCUUUACUUUUACGAGCCUCCUUAGUGGGUGUUCAAGCAAUCGAUACAUAAGAAUUGGUGCGACGAUUCAUGGGUCUGUGGUGAAGAAAGGGUUCGAUUCGGAAACUUCCAUUGGAAAUGCUUUGAUAACCAUGUAUGGUGAGCAAGGAAAUGAGAGAGACGCUCGUCUCGUGUUCGACACAAUGCUUUUGUAUGAUGUUGUUUCGUGGACAGCAAUGGUGGCUGCUUAUGUUUGCAAUAGCAAUGUCAACGAGGCUUGUGCUAUUUUCAUUAGGAUGAGAGAGAAAAACCUGAUAUCCUGGAAUACGCUGAUGUUCGGGUACCUUCAAAAUGAUAAAAACUCGGAAAAGAGCUUCAUAGAUGCAACAAACAAAAGAUCAGCGCUGACGAUAUAUUAUGAGAUGGAACAGUCAGAUAUUAAGCCCGACCACUUCUCGUACAACUGCGCUCUGAGUGCUUGUGCUACUGUCAGUGCUCUGGAACAGGCCAGGGCAAUUCACUGUAGAAGUACCAAAAGAGGGUUUGAUUCUGACGUGGGAGUAGGGAAUGCGCUAAUCUCCGUAUACGGAAAAUGUGGAUGUCUCGCUGAAGCAGAGAGGGCAUUUCAGAGUAUGAAGAACCACGAUAUGAUCUCGUGGAAUGCUCUACUAACGGGAUAUUCGCAAAAUGGAAGAGGAAAUGAAGUACUAGAUUUCUACAAUAAGAUGCACGAGUCGAGAGUGGAGCCAAACCAUGUAACUUUUAUAAACUUGUUAUCGGCUUGUAGUUACUUGGGCGAUGUUCAGAAAGGUAGGGAGUACUUUAAAUCGAUGAAGGAUUACGGUAUAAGUCCUACAAAGGAGCACUAUGCUUGCAUGGUGGAUCUUCUCGGACGAGCAGGGCUUCUGCGAGAAGCAGAAGCUGUAAUCAGAAGAAUGCCGGUGGAGCCAGAUAGUGCUAUAUGGGGAGCACUUCUUAGUGCCUGUAAAAUCCAUGGAGAUCCUGUGAUCGGUGAAAGAGCAGCUGAUGAGAUUUUUCAUUUGGAGCCGGAUAGUUCUGCCGCUUACAUUGCACUUGCUGAGACUUAUGCUAAAGCUGGAAUAUGGAAAGGUGUAGCCCAAGUGAGGACACUACUAAGAGAGAAGCAGCUUUUGAAAGAAGCUGGAUGCAGCUGGAUUGAGGUGAGGAACCAAAAGCACUUCUUUCUCGCGGGCGACACCGGUCACCUGUUAAAGGACUCUAUACAUGCAACACUCUGGAGCCUAUACAAAAACAUGUUCGAAAGAAUAAGUAUACAAGAUGCUCGCCCCCCUUGAAAUUUUCGAGGACAUUUGAUCUAAUUCACGAUUACUGUUUUACAUAUAAACCCCUGCAUAGCCUGAAUUUUCACAUAAAACCCUUGCAAACUGAGUUUCUUACGAGAGCAUAUAUGAGAUUAAGGUUUAACGGGAAUAAGUAUAAAAAUUUCUUUUAUGAUAUAUAUAUUUAUGGGAAGAGCUCCACAUAGCCAGUUAAUACAGCAACAGCCAAUAUGACAAAGGGGGGAAGGAUAACAAAUGCGCCGAUUGUUGCGAAGAAAACAGAGUCAUCUCUACGACCCACUUCAUUGAGGUAUGCCUGACGCUUGAUGUUUCUUCUCUGCGAUAUUGUUAAGGAAUUGAUACUUGCUUUUAACUUUUUACCCAGUGGAAUCGUGAACUCAUCAUUUCUGUCUCCUGUAAGUUCAGAUAGUUGCUCCCGAAUCGUAGGUAGCUGAGGCUCAUUGAUGCUUAUGGGGCCUAAAAUAAGAAAUUCGGAAGAUAAUUUAAUAUGGCAAAGAGUUGAUGGAUUGAUGCUAAUGUGAAGAAGGUCAAUACAUUCAUACCACUAACAUUUGAGGUCGAGGAUGUGAGCUGUUCCAAUAGAUCCAACUGGGUGCGCGCAGAAGACUCUAAAAGGUACAAAUUACUGACAUUAAUUAUGUAAUAAUAAAAAGAACAAGUGACAACAAAUAUUUGAAAAGAGGGUUAAUCAAACUAGUUGCAAUUGAUGAUUUAUUAUUGUGAAUAAUACAAAGAUGGUCGAUGUGUGUUAAAUAAUAAGCGCUUCAGGAUUUCAAGCAAAUGUGGCAAUAAGCAGGACAGGUUUGUUUAUUUUCCAAGUUUAUGGAUGGCCAAUAAAUGAAUAGAAAAGAAAAGCCAAAAUAAAGUACCUUAUUUUCAUUUAGUUUUCUGAUACUCAUAUUGGAUUAGUGCACUUGAUCAUGCCUAUUUAUGAUUGUUAAUCCAGCUUGGUAAUAGAGAAAAUUGCUUAACGAAUUUUUUUUACUAGGAUACCAACAUGAGUUAUUCGGACAUUGAAAUGGCAUUUUAAUGUAACAUUUUUCUGAUUUGGUUUUGUAAUUUGUGCGCUAAGUGAUAUGAUUUGUGCGUGCAAUCAUUUUUUCUGAUGCUUUGUUGUCAAAAUUCUGAAGAAGGCAAUAGGCUGUUAGUCAUUAACAUAUUUAGUUGGAAAGCUGAUAGAUGUAUGGUCUUUAAUCCUAGAACUUUUUUCAAAAUCAAAUGCUUGAAUUUGAAUAUUAAAAGGGCAGUAUAUACGCAACUAGAGUAUCAAAAAACAGGAAUGUUAGUCAUUAGCCUAUUUGUUCAUUUCCUCUCUUGGUUUGGUUUUCUGUAGGGUCUAUGUCUAAUUCUAUUCCUCUUUUGCAAUAGAAAGGAACAAAUAGAACAUGAAGCAUGCGGAAUGGAUAAAGAAAAGCUUCAAAUUUCACAUGGAAAGGAUGAGCAAAAUGAACAAAGUAAAGAUCAUGAUCAUGCAGAAUAAACAGGCAAAAUAUAUGCAGGUAGGAGAAGUAGCUACUUGAAAAGGAAUCAACUGAGAAAGCUAAAAUUAAUAAGAAUGGCGAAGUGAGACUUCGUAAUAUGCUGAUGAUGGCUAAUUUGUGAACUUCCCUGUAGCAGUUAUUUCAAUUGGUAGAUCAAGGUACUGAUUUUAACUUACUAUGUGAUUAUACUAUAAUUCUGAACCUUUCUGUCAGUUUGAUUUUGUAACAGUAAUAGAGGAAAUAAUUCUGAUAAACAAACCAUAACUGAAAUCACAUAUAAAUUAUCUAUUGAUACUCAUGAAAUAUGGACCUGCUAGACUUGGUUCUUCUCUGACACCUUCUGAUUGAACUGCUUUACAGGGGCAAAAGUGCUUUUCUGAGGAGUUAUGGGGCCUCAAUGGGAUUGAGUAGCUCUUUGUUGGGAACCUCUCUAGAGUCUGAAUCCUCAGAGGUGAUGUUGGGAGAGGGGAGGAAGGAGAGAAGUUCCAGGCCAUGGAUUCUUUUGGAAGUUGUGAGAGGUUUCUUUUUCUCCUCUUUUUGCUUAACACAUAAACUUAUGUUUCUUUCAUUUAUAUGUAUUUGAGAGAAUUUACCUGGUUAUGUUGAGCUUACUGUGUGGACCACAUAAAAGCUCAAAGGAGGAGCACCACAUAUUUGUGGCCUUAUUUAAGGUUUAAAGGGCUUCUGGAGGAAGGCCGGGUCCCCUAGACCUCUACUAGAAUCUGAAAAAUUAUUAUUGACUCAAUACAAUUUAAUUUGUAAAUUUACUGCUAAAUCUUUAACCUUCACUCUUUAUCAUCUUGAUGAGGAAAAAUUCUAGAAUACAACGUGUAUAUUGGUGACAUGGCGUAACAAGCCAAUCAAAAAUCUCCUUUUAAAGAUAUAUAUCCUAUCAUGAUUAUAAAAAAGUAUUUUUAUUGUACUUUUGUUUGAAAAGAAGAAAUAUGGUUGGCUUGUUAUUAAUGAUGUGGUUCAAGUGUGAUAGUGUAGAAUUCCUCCUUAAUGAGACCUAUGAAGUACUCAUGUAAGAGACGUCUCCUAAGGUUGUGCCUCCGUGUACGCCAUGAAUUAGCGACUUAGUACAAUUUUAAGACAAUUACAGUUGCAGAGAGAAUGUGUUAUAUAUAAAUUUUGCGUCAUGUCUUAUAGAUUUUAUUGGUUUGAUUACGCUACAAAUUUUGCGACCCCACUAUAUAUAUGUAGAAUCAUAGUUUUCAUAUAUUUGUGUUUCAAUUUUUUUGAUCUAGAAUUACAAGCAAUACUAUUUAUACAUUCCAAAAAAGAGAAUAAAUUUUGCACUCUUCAAUCAGAACUCAUGUCACUUUCUUAUUUUGUCAAUAUUUUUAAAAUAUUAAUUAAUUAAAGGUAGCGUUUGGUUCGGCUAUAAACAAGAAUUAGCUAUUACAGAGAUAGGUACAAAUAUGAGGAUAAGAAAAAUAGCGUUUGGGUGAAAAUUGGGUUGUUUCCGGGGAUAAGAAAAAUAGCGUUUCGAUAGAUAAUAUGGAAUAAAAAAAGGCUAAAUUACAAAAAAUUCUCUUGUAAUAACCCGUUUUUUCACUUUCCCUCCCUGAUAUUUAAAAACCUACACUUUGCUCUCCUGUAAAAUAAAAAAUGUGCACUUCACCCUCUACCGUUAGGGUUCCGUCAGGGUUUCGUUAAAAAAUAUAUUUUUAUGCUGAAAAUACCCCUCCGCCAUCUCCCUAUUGCUUCGACUCCCUCCGGCUCACCACCUCGCCGCCGCCUUGCCGCCUCGCAGCCUAGCUGCCUCGCCGUCCUCCACUGCCUCGCCCUCACCCACAUCCCCUUCGCCGUCCUCCGCCGCCUCGCCUUCGCCUUCUUUGCCCUUCUCCUACUGUCGCCCAUCUCGGUUUUCUCCUACUGUCGCCGAAAUCGAGGGCGGCGAGGGUGCAGAAGGAGAAGGGGAGCAGGUGGAGAAGAAAAUGGAGAGAAAUCGCGGCUGAUUGAGGUAGGAAUCGCGGUCGAACGAAGGGGCGGCUGAGAAAGAUGGGGAAGAAGACGACAAUGGCGAGAGGCAAAAUGGUCAUUUUACACACCGUAACUCUCCUGUGAACAUUUUUUAUUUUACAGGGGGGCAAAUUGUAGGUUUUUAAAUAUCAGGGGGAGAAAGUGAAAAAGCGGAUUAUUACAGGAGGGUUUUCUGUAAUUUAGCCUAAAAAAAAUAAUGGGUAGUUUUAUAUAGAAAAUGGAGGUGUUGGUGGGGAUAGUUAUAUCCGGUUAUUAUAAGUAAUCGAGAACUACUAUUCUUGGGUAAAAAAUUAGCGUUUGGUUAUAAAGGGGAUAAGGGGUUAUUCCUAUCCCUAUCCCUAUCCCCCAUCCAAACGAUGCCUUAGCGUUUGGUUCUGAUAUAAGCAAGAACUAGUUAUUACAGGAAUAUGUACAAAUAUGGGGAUAAAGAAAAUAGCGUUUGGAUGAAAAUUGGAUUGUUCCCAGGAAUAAGAAAAAUAGCGUUUGGAUAAGAUAAUAUGGAAUACGAAAAAUAGUGGGUAGUUUUAAUGAAGGUGUUGGUGGGGAUAGUUAUACCCGGUUAUUAUAAAUAACCGAGAACUAUUAUUUUCGGGUAAAAAAUUAAUGUUUAGGUAUAAAAGGGAUAAGAGGAUAUCCCUAUCCCUAUCCCCUAUCCAAACGGUGCCGGGCCUAGAAGUAUUAAAAAAUUUGUAAACUGUAGAAUUAGAAGUGUAAGAUGUACAUUUUUUUUUUUUUUUUUGAGAUAUAACAGUUGUUUGGUUCUCCGGAAAAUUAUGAAAAGAAGUUUUGCAAGAAAAUUUUUUUAAAAUUUUUAGCCUAUUUGGUUUGAAGAAAAAUAAAGUAUUUUUGAAAAAAAAAAAUCAUAUUUCAUGGAAAAUUAGUAAUUUUAUUUUCUGAAUUUUUUUAGAAAAAUAAAGAUACUAGUUUUCAUAAAGUAUGAAAAAAAGAUUUUUAUAAAAAAAGAUUUUUCUUAGAAUCAAAUGACGAAAAACUAAAAAAAUAAAUUUUUUUAGAUUUUUUUUGGCAUACUUUUCUUAGUAACCAAACACUUUGAUUUUCCCUUAAAAAAAAUAGAAUCAAAUUUAUCUCUCAAAAAAAAAAAAUUACCAUCAAAUUAUAUCCCAAAAUAUUAGCCUAGUUCUAAACAAGCAGACCAUUAAGCACCCGAAUCUUUUUAUAGCCCGGAUCCGAACCCGUUUGCCCUAACUUUUCCCUUCCCCUUUCCUUUCUUCUUUAAUUCUUCUUCUUCGUCCCGGAUUGCCAUCCCCUCCUCCCGGUAACGAACACCAUUACUAGGGUUUCGAGGUUCCCUCAACACGCAAGAGAGAGAAAGAGAGAGAGAGGACGAGGCCAUGGCGGGGGAGGAGGAGAGGAGGAAGCGGGUGGAAUCGCUGGGGUGGCUAACGGAGUCGGCGGUGAUGCCGAAGAAGCACAAGGCGAUCGAGGGCGUGGGCGCCUCUUCCAUCGUCGAGCUCAAGGCUCAGCUCUACCGCACCCAGGAGGAGGCGCGCAAGGCCAAGGACUCCUCCGCCGCCUCCGCCGACGAGUUCCACCGCGCCCGGAAGAAGCCCCUCCCCUCCGACCUAUUCUCCCAGAAGAACUCCGGCGUCGAGAGCCGCGCUCGAAGGUGCGACUCGUUUUCCUCCACCCUUUUGUUUGAUCCGAGUUCCUUUUAUGAGCUUGAUUAUGAUUUAGUUUCGUGUUGUGAAUAGUGGGAAAGAUAGGGUUCUGCUUGGAGAGUUGCAAUUUUUGGAGCCAAAUAAGCAUUUUGGCUUCAUAAUUAGAAUAUGGUUUGUCUCAGUUUUAUGGAGUUUUGAUGCAUAUAUAUUCCAUUCAUUAGGGUUAAUAAGCAUUGACAGGAUCCUUGCUACUUGAAGUGCUCUAACCGUCCAAAGUUUGCAAUGUCUUUCGCCGGGGAUUUUAUGAUUUAGAUCUUGUUUGAGUGCAUAUGAAAUUGAUCUGCAACUGUAGCUUUGCAGAUCUUUUGCUUCUAAUAUAAAGAAAGCCGAAAUGAGAAGAAAUACACAGAAAAUCUGCCAUAAGAAUUCAGAUUCUGCAAUAAGGAGAUGCUUGGUGUUAUCUGGUGCUUAUAAUGUGAUCUAAUUGCAGAAAAUUUGGAAAUUGUAGGUUCUUUUUGUCGCAAAGAAUACCAAAGAAUACUAUUGAUCUCUUUCUCCCGCAUCCACGAUAGAAAAACCAACAAAAACAUAAUCUUCACUCCAUUUAGAAUCAUACUGAUCUUAGUAGAGCCAGUUAUUAGGAGUAAUUUACAGUUUCUACAAACUAAUUGAUCAAUUAUUAAACCAGUUUAUAUGGGGAUGCAAAUUUGAAAUUUUGAUUGAAAGUUGCUUGGUUCCUACUGUAGAGAGAAUGAGAGAUUGAUCCAACAGGCUCCUAAUUUGUGUAGGAGACAUACCAAGAGAAAAUUCAUUAUAAUAUGAGAAUGUAGAAUAAACACUACAUGGACCCAGUAGGCCCCUAACAACCAAGAGAAAAUUCAUUAUAAUAUAAGAAUUUAGAAUAAACACUAACUGUUUAGUUCCACCUUUCCAAAAUAUCCACUCAGAAGAGUGAGUACCCUUAUUUUAAUAAUGCAUAGCUACUCCGCUUUGGUUUCGUUGCUUCUCAAGGCAUUGCUUUUUCAACUUUGAAGCUUAGUUCAUUUUCCUAAUGAAUGAAGCUGGUAGCUUGCUACCUUACUAUCAAAAAAAAAAAAAAAAAUAUCACAGCUACUCUGCCACUAACUGACUUUCUUUCUUUACUAAAUCGCAAGUAGUAUUUAUCUGCCAAAUUGAUCUACUUUUUCUUUAUUUUGAUUUUUAAAUUUUCCGCACCUUGUUAAAUCGUUUAACCAUAUUGAUGAUAUACUCCAUGUCUAAGAAGUUGUUAAUAAUGUUUUUGAAACGGCAGGGACAAGUUGGAGAUGAAGGCUAUUAAGGAUGGCUCAGUUAGUUAUGCAGCCUUGGAAAAGAAGGUGGAGAUUUAUGAGAAACUCGCAAGAGGCGAGCUCCCUGAUGAGGAAGAGAAGGAGAAGUAUUGUGUGGACUUCUUCCGCAAGGGUCUCGAGCAAGACGAACCUCAGCAGCCGGAAUUACAUGGCAAUACUAGUGAUGAUGUAGUAGAAAAUCAAGAUGGUGACACUGAUGAUUCAUUGCUAAAUUCCAAACUAUUUGGUCUUGGUCGUGCAAGUGCCAUAAUAGAUAAUGAUGAGCAUAAGCGCUUUGUGAGGUAUGAUUUCCUCGAUAUAAUCUGUUAGAUCUAUUGGUACCACAAUUUCCCUCUUUUAAUCUGAGGUUCGUUUUUAUGUUUAAUUUUUAAGUCCACCAGAUUCUGAAUUCUAUUAACAUAGAUCUUUGAAUAGAAGAGCAUGUCAUUUGCGACGUUUUUUAAGAAACUUGUGGAAUAGAAUAAUAAAGUUGGCUUUUUCAACUCUUUUAAAGUUGGUUAAUUCCAGUAACUAUUCUUGCACCAGUCAUUAGCAACAAAAGUGCUUCUUUCUAAUAGAAUAUUUACAAAUUGUUAUGAAGCUAGAAAAAUUAAAUUCUGAACAAGUACCAUGUUUACAUCUGUUCUUUCAUUUAACACUCUUUGUGUAGAUAAAUGUGUGCCGGCCCCCCAUUCCAUUCUGCUAGUCGAAAUCAGAAAACUUGCUCAUCUUUCUUAUAGCAAAAUGUAUAUUUGGGAUUAAAAAAUGUAUUCCUUUUUGUUAAAUUGCAAUAUAUUUUUUCUUUUUGGGGCAUACAGUUUCAAUAUUUUAGUCACUUUCUAAUCACUAUGAUGUGAAUAUCUACUAACAGGGAAGUUCAUGAAGAGGCAAGCCAGGCAAGGGAGAAGGCGACAACUCUCCGAGCGCGUAGGCAAGAGCAGGAGGCCGCUCGCAGAGAGAAAUUGCGGCAGGCAUAUCUCAAAAAACAGCUCGACAAACUGAUCUCAUCAAAACAAACAGCUGCAAUUAGUAACAACAACAAACCGAUUGUUGAAACCGAAGGAGUCGGUCCAAAGUAAUUCGAAUGUAUAUAAUAUUUGUUUUUAUUUUUUUUUAAAUGUAGCGCCGUCGCAGUAGCGUUUCGCUAUUAGCUCUUUUAGCAUCUUUUGCCCAACGAAACGAAUUGUAUUUGGAGGGCAAGGCCUGUAGAUUAUCCUGAUUGUAGUCCCAAUUUUUGGUGUUCUUCGUACGGAAAGUUAAAGCGAAAAUUUUGUUAACUUUUCUGGAUGAAUGAGUGUAAGAACUUUGCCGUAGAAAACAAAAACUAGUUAUGUCGUUAUCGAUUUGUCGUAGAAAACAAGUUAUUUUUAUUUUUAUUUUUAUUUUUAUCGCUAAAGAGAACUUUGCCGUAGAAAACAAAAACUAGUUAUUUUUAUUUAUUUUUAUUUUUAUUUUUAUUUUUAUUUUUUCGUCUUUGUCCGGCUUUUCAUCUCUUUAGAGGUCUUGUUGUUUCUUCCAUAUAGCUAAGUUCAUAUUCUGAAUGAAUGAAGCGGGUAGUGUGCUACAUUUUUCUCAAAAAAAAAAGUUAUGUAGUUAUCGAUUUGUUUUUCUCUGAAUAAUGCAAGAGUUGUAUUAUAAUUCAUUGCAAAAGAGAGUGUCCAUCAUCUUUUCACUUUUUACACUAACGUAAAGGAGGAUUAUAAAACAAGUAUUUGUAAGAAGUAUAAAUUUUGUGAACUUUUAUCAUCUUUUCACUUUUCGAUUGGGCUAAAAAUGUCCAAAUUUAGUAAUAAUCUAUAAUUGGUUUAAAUUCUGUGCACUUUAAACUCCAAAAAACGAACCUAUGCUGUAUCUUGUUGUCCCCCACUUCCAUGCUCUCCCCCAAAUCUUUUUCCAAAAUUCGACCGUUGCGACGACACGUGCUCGAACCAAUCUUUUAAAUCACUCUCUCUCCCCCCACCCCGCCGAAGAGUAGCAAGCAGUAAACGCAGCACGCGUAAUCACCCCCCUCUUCCUUAACAUUCUCUCCAUUAUUCCCCACUCGACCGUUGCUCGCGCUCCUUCUCCCCCUCUCCCUCUCCUCUCUCUCCUCUGUCGCUAAAACUCCAAGCUUUCAUGGCGACGAGCUCCGUGGACGACAAUGGCGGAGGAGGAGAGAGAACGAACGAUGCCGCGGAGGCUGCGCAUCCGUACGACUUCCAUGUGUCGGGCCCUCGCAACCUCUCCUCCCCCAAUUGGAGGGAUCUCAUCCGAUCCAGCUGGUUCGAUUUUCCAAUCCUCCUCCUCCUCCUCAUCCUCAAAUUAUACCAUUUCGAUCGACACUUACAUUUUGUUUUUUUGUUUUUUUUUUUGUUUUUAAUCAAUUUUCUUUCGAUUCAAGUUUGGAUCUUGCGACAUGGUUGCUGAGAAUUUGGCAUUUUAGGGUUUUGUCUAUCUUUAGGGUUUCUCCCCUUUUGCUUUACUUUGGUUUAUUUUUACUGAGAAUUAAUACGAAGAAGCGGAUAGGGAAUUGCGAAUUCAAGAUUCUCUUAGAUUGUUUUUGUCUUAUUUCCUUUAAUGCAAUGCAGUUCAUUGCCUCAAAAAUCGUUUCUUGUCACCUGUUUCAACUUUGUGAGACGUUGUUACCAUUUUCGAUUGUGUUACAUAUUUAACCUUUUUGACAUUUUGAUCCUCCAACUUUCAAUUUUAAUCUUAGGCACCUCAAAACUCUUAAAAGAGUUUAUUAGAGGAUAAAUAUAGUCCUUUUGGAAGUUAUCAGAUGACCACUCUGUUUUUUUGCCUAUUUGUUAACGUUCGCGACUUUAGACCUGAAUGAAACAUGCAACUUGUUUACUUGUUAACGUUCGUCCUUCCGAAUCGUAGGGUUCGAAUCGCUUUUCAAUAUAUCAGCUGAUAUUUAUUAUGCUCUCAAAGAGGUUGAGUGUGUUCGUGGAACAUCUGGGUAUAGUCAAAAGCACUCUUUUAUCAAAUGUUAUUCACAUGUAAUUUACACUGGAUUUGCAGGAAGGAUCCAAAUUACAGGAGGAUGGUCAUAGCAUGCUUCAUUCAAGCAGUUUACUUGCUGGAAUUAGAUCGACAAGAGAACAAGAGCGAAGGCGACGGCCUCGCGCCCAAAUGGUGGAAGCCCUUCAAGUACAAGCUAUCUCAAACGCUCGUCGACGAAAGAGACGGUUCCAUAUACGGCGCGGUCCUAGAAUGGGACCGAACCGCCGCUCUAUCCGAUUUUAUAGUGAUAAGACCAAGCGGCGCGCCAAAAGCGGUACUUGCGGUUCGAGGCACCCUUCUGAAGAGCCCGACGAUCAGAAGAGAUCUCGAAGAUGAUCUUCGUUUCCUCGCGUGGGAGAGCUUGAAAGGUUCGGUUCGAUUCGUCGGUACUUUAGAAACAGUGAAAGCUUUGGUUGGUAAGUUCGGUAGCAGCAAUGUGUGCAUCGGCGGGCACUCUUUGGGGGCCGGAUUCGCUCUCCAGGUCGGCAAAGCGAUGGCCAAGCAAGGUGUUUUCAUAGAGUGCCAUUUGUUCAAUCCGCCUUCCGUUUCGAUAGCCGCGAGCGUGCGGAGUAUCGGCGAGAAGGCGAGUAAUCUGUGGGGCAGAGUUAAAGCGAGCUUGCCUUCGAAGUGCGAGGGAGAGGAGAAGGUUUGCGGGAACGAAGGGAAGAGGCUGUGCACAGAGAUGAAGAAAUGGGUGCCGCAUUUGUAUGUAAACAGCAGCGACUACAUUUGCUCGUAUUACGCUUCGAUCGAGGACGGUAGCGAUUCGGAUGGCGCGGAGGCGGGCAAUGUGCAGCAGGUAGGAGAAGUCGCGAAGCUCUUCGUGAUGUCGAAAGGGCCGCAGAAGUUUCUGGAGGCUCAUGGCUUGCAGCAGUGGUGGUCGGGGGAUGCCGAACUGCAGCUGGCUCUGCACCAUAGCAAGCUCAUCAACAGGCAGCUGAGAUCUUUGUACACAAUGCCACCAACAUCUUCUACCGCGAAAUCGUAGGAUUCGGAUUCUAAGUUUGUUUCUCGAAUUGUUUUUUCUUUUUCUUCUUUUUAAAUGCUCUUCUCGAGUAUAUGAAUCAAGAGACUUGUGUAAAAGUGUAGGAUGUAAGCAUAAAAGGGACUUUGUUUGUUCUUUGUUGAAUGAGUGGUUUUGUUAUCCUCUGGUGAUUCCUGAUACAACAAAGAGAAUAGGGUAUAUAUAUAUAUAUAUAUAUAGGCCAUGGCUACUAUACUAUUAUGAGUAUUGGAGCUCUCGUACUUAUAAGUUGUUUUCAAUGAUGGAGCUUCCGAAUCGAUGAUCUACUCCAUUAAAUAUGAUCUAGAGUAUUUGAAACUUCUAGAAAAUAAAUUUCGUAAAUUUUCGAAAUCAUAAUAAAGUCUAUCAAGUGGGCAUAAAAUGAACGGUCAAAAUCGAACGACAUCCUAAAAAAGGAUGAUCGGAUCAUUUAAUUUAAGAUCAGAGUUAUUGAUCUCUUUAUCUAUGUAGUGAAUAGAAUUUUCUAUCAAAAAUUCAACAAAUUUCGAUUCUUUUACAUUGUUAAACUAGCAAGUAUCCCAUACCGGCCGUUAAAAAUUGUCAAAUUUGUGACCUCUUGAUCGUAAGGUAAAUGAUGUCGAAAAAUUAUAAAAUUUAAUUUCUAGAAGUUUUAAAUACUGUAAAUAACGUUUAACGGUGUGGAUCAUCGAUUCGGAAGCUCUAUCAUCGAAAACAACUUAUGAGUACGAGGGUGAUCGUACUCAUAAUAGUAUAGUAGCCGGACCCUAUAUAUAUAUAUAUAUAUAUAUAUAUGUAAAAGAUUAUAACAGAGGAAUUUGUUCUGAAUUUUAGUUUUUUUUUUUUUAUUCUUUCGGGAAACGACAGCGACGCCCUUAGAGAGUCCCACCACAUGAAACUGGAACUCAAACUCAGAACCUCUUAAACCGAGCCAUAAGCUGCGUUUGGUUGCAGGGUAUUCCAGAACAAGCUGGGAUAUCCCCCAAUCAAUAUUCAAGUAAAAAAAAAAAAAAGAGGAGGAUUCUUUGUUCCAGACUUAACGGGUUGUUCAACCCAUUAAGCCUGUUCUUCUCAGCUUGGAGAACUGGCUUGAAUAACUUGGGUCCCCUAUAAAGCUUUCCAUUUUGUCCAUUAAACCCUUCGCCUCAAACGAACCAAAAAAAAAAAAGAAUUUUUCAGCUAAGUUUAUUUCUAAAUGAAAUAAACGAAACAGAUAGUGUGCUACCUAUCUCUCCAAAAAAAAGAAAUUAUAAAUUAAUAUUUAAUAAAAUAAAAUAAAAAAAUAGAUUGAAUGAUUAAUUAAUAAGUACUAAUCCAUUUUAAAUAUUUAUAUUUUUAAAUUAAUUUUGAAUAAAUUUAAAUAAAUGUCUAAAUUGAAUACUACUAAAUUAAUAUUUUCAAAAUAAUGUACAAAUAUACUUAAUUUGUAAAUUAAUUUAUUCUAAUACUUAAUUUAUUAAAUUAUAUUUAAUUAUUAUAUUCAAGGGCAAAUUUAUCAUUCUAUAUAAUUUUUAUCUUUUCAACAUCUAAUUCCAGUAUAAGCACCUAAACACUAUAAAUAAUAUUUUCUAGGAACAAACAAACAACAUCCAGACGAAAUUUAUAAUUUGUUCUAGCUUAUAUCAAGAUAUCUCCUAUUUUUGGGAACAAUAAAAAUUAUUCUUUAAAAAUUUAGUUUUCACAAUAAAAAUUAUUCUUUAAAAUUUAGUCUCACUAUUUGGAUACUGAUGAUUUGGCUACAUAAGAAUGAGUUAUAUUUUAGGGAUAGUGAAGGGAUGUAGGGCCUUGCAGUUUUAAAAACGUAUGGAAACCCCCUCAACCAUCGGCUGUUUUGAAAAAGAUCCCUCAACUUUUAGAUUUAUGUUUUUUUGAGACCCCUUCAGUUUCUAAUUUUUUUGAAUUAAAUGAAUUCGAUUAAAACAAUUAGGGGUUUUCUCAAAUUUAUUGAUAAUUUCACAAAAUUUAACAACUCUAUUUAUUUUUAAGCAAAUAAAAAUAUGCAAAUUAAAUUAUUAAUGAAGAAAAUUUGAGAGGAUUGCAUUUAAACAAAAACAAAAAAGACAAGAUGAGGGGCCAAUUUCAAAAUAGCCAAAAAGGCCUAAGGCUCUAUUUUGAAAUUGGCUACAUUUGAGGGGCUCUCCGUACAUUUUUAAAAUUUUAAAAAUAACCUCAAAUUGCGACUUUCACGAAAUUAACAACUUUUAUUUAAUUUUAAGCAAAUAAAAAUAGACAAAUUAAAUAAUUAACGAAGAAAAUUUGAGAGGAUCGCAUGUAAACAAAAACAAAAAAAAAAAUAAAGGUAAGGGGCCAAUUUCGAAAGAACCCAAAAGACCUAAAGGGUUCGUUUCGAAUUUCCCUACAUUUGAGGGGCCAAUUUCGAAAUAACUGAAGACCUAAGGGUCUAUUUCGAAAUUGCCUACAUUUGAGGGUUCUCCAUGCAUUUCUAAACAAAACUGACCUUAAAAAAGAUGGAAAAGUCUACCUGUACUCCUAUAGAAAGGUGUAUAUCCUACAACUAUCAGAUCCAAUGGCUGAUAUUAAUCCACUAGCACAGUAGCUUCUAACCUCACACCUUUUUUACUUCUUACUAAAGCUAACUUAAAUUAAACCCUACUACACUUCUCUCUCCCGCACAGCUCCUCUCGCUAUCUCUGUUUCUCGCUCUCUCUCGCUUCCUCGCUUUCUCUCGCUCCCUCGCCUCUCGUCAUCUCACGCUCUCCCCUUUCUCUUUCUCUCACUCUCGCUCGCAGGGCACUCCACUCCAUCGGGCAGAAGUUCGGCAGCGUUCGUUCCACACAUCUCGUGUCCGAAGCCGUCUCGAAGGUGUCUCUCGGCUUCGCCUUUCUCCAUUGGUAGGAGGUCGCCUCUCAACUGCUCCCCUGUCCAUCCCAGUACCUGUGACGCAUUCCUUCAGUCGUGAGCGUCCGAAAUUGGGAACGAUUUCGGAGCUAAUUCGGCCACAACCGAAACAGAUGAUUCAACUCAAACAGGGCAUUUUUUUAAAAUUUCUAUAAUCUUUUAUUUUCAAUUUUUAAUUUAAUACAAAAUGUAUAUUUUGAGGGUUUAGGGUUGCAGCUGCGGAUUGUCUUUGCGUGCUCCCAGACUUUUCGCGUCACCGAAUAUGGUGAAUAAUUUAUUUUCAGGAACACUGGGGUAUAUUGCGGAUAUAUCAUUAGUUCAUUUUUAAGAAUAAAGAAAUUAUAUAGGAUUAGGGUAGGGUUACAAGCUAUUAUGGCCAGCAUUGAUAGUAUGUUCAAAUCCAUAGACUUGGAUGAAUCUAUAUGCAAGCUUGUGGUUUAAAUCUUAAUAUAGCCGCUGAUAGAAAUAUUCACAAUCGGCAUUGACGAGUGAGCAGUUCACUAUUAGGUGUUUAGGGUUUAGAAUUUCCUUUAUGGUUCCGAAACAUGUAGGAGUUGCAAUGUACCCAUAUGGCAUAAUAUAGACAAUCCUAGGGCCAUAAUAGAACAACUCCUAUCAACGCAGGUAUUAGAACACUUUGAUCUAAUAAUAAAUAGAUGUAAAGGUUAUAUAGAACACUCUUCAUAAGUUUAUCAGUGGAAGCACUGUUUAGAAUUAGAAACAUUUCUCUUUAGUCCAGACGAAACAUAUUGUAAGCUGCCACAGAGGUAAACCAAUAGAACUGGCAGAGGGCAAGAUGGUAAAUCGAGCGACCUGAUAAAUAUUCGAUGGGACUAUCGCAUGCCAUAGGGGUCAUAAUAAACAUAUUUUUACAGUAUUACAUAAAAUUUAGCCCUCAACCGCAGUAUUCUUCUGCGAACAGAAUUGCGUGAUUGAAUGCCUGCGAGCUAUUAUAUUAGUUGUAAUCGUAUUUGUUGUCCUUUUCUAUUUACUUGUUUUCUGAACAUGCUUCUUGUUUCCGCAUCAAAUACGUCACUGUAAUUAAUCUAGUAAUAGACUAAUUUUGUGAAGAUGUGGCAUUGGAUCCGCAUCUAUACAGUCACUUUCUGGAUAAAUAAAUACACAAACAAUGCAACAGCUUUAGAUAUGUACUUAUUCCGUUACAUAGUAAAAUUGGCGUUGGCAUUUGCUAUCGAUUGAUAAAGAACGACGUAUUAAGAGUUGAACUCAUUGACCACAGCGGGCACAGACGCGGCACAGCGCUGGUAUAUUUAUUCAUUCUCAGUUAGACAGAGGUUUUUAGUUAUUAAUUCACGAAUGCACAGUAACAUCUACCUAUAAAUCGUUAAUAAAUUAACACAUUUUUUUUAGUCUUGAAACGAAAUGGUUUGCGUUCUAUUUGAGACAUCCUCAAAUCCGCUGUCGGCGCCUGCUGCGUCAAUAUUGCAUAAGGAAUAGUUAACAACAGGGUUCCAUCGAAGCUUGAUUGUGCAUUAACACAUCUUUUUGCCCGAAAGAAUCGUAAGAAACGCCUCCCCGAUCUAUCAUUGUACAUAAUGACCGGCUGCCCUCUUCCUGCUCAUAUGGUCAGGGCGAUUCUAAAGGACCAUGUUGCUACAUAUAUACUUCAUUAAUUGAGUGCAUAGUCGCAAAAGAUGAAUCUGCAAUGUUAUAGAAUUUUGCAAUUGUUCUGGUAAGUACAGUGUUGUAUGUAUAUUAUUGUGCAAUUGUGAAUGGUAACUCAGCCAGAGUUAAUUAUAAUGAUUUGAAUGUCAAUUGUGUCCAUUGUGAGUGGUCGUAUCACAGAUUUUUCAUAUAUCAUUUGAAUGUGCAAUGUGAAUUAUGACUAGGUAAUUCUUGUAUUUUUGCUUAUCAUAUUCAUUGAUUUAUUUUGUGUAAUGUGAGUUGUUUGAUAAAGAGUCUAGUUAAUUUAUCCCAUUGAUUAAUGUAUCAAUUUACCGUGAUUUGUCAUAUUUCUCCCGAUUUUAUCAUAGAUGAAUUUACCUCUAUAAUUUUAUUAUGUUGCAAAAUAAUUUAUGAGAGUUAUCGUAUCGGAGAUAGACAUUCAGAAAGUACAAUGGGCACAUGUUGAGAUUGAUGAUGUCCCUAAGUUGCGUUGAGAACGCAGUAAGUAUUAGAAGUGUCCGUCUGAACUACAACCAGACUACACGAAAGGUCAGAUCACCUUCUGUUAGCGCUCAACAUCCUCCUAUAAUCACCUAUGGUGUAUUUACUUUCCUAUAGAUUCCCAAGUGGUAAACUGUUCUAAUUUUUACGCAACAGCAAAGAAAUGGUACCAUAUAGAAUUGGUAAUAAAGCAUAGUGCUGUAUUUUGGUGGCUCAUUUAGUACUACAGAUGUUGGGUGCAUAUAAAACUAUUCCAAUUUAAGGCUAUAACCGCACAACCCAAAAGCUACCAUAUAGAAGCAAAAAUAGAUAGAAAUGGCAGGUAUAGGUAAAAAACUUAGCCCUACAGAGUUCCGAGAGGGUAAUAAACGGUUCUAAUUAACGCUAUAAGUACAACAAAGGAGACCAUAUAGAAGUGGACAUAUAAAUGUGGCAGGUAUUUCGGUGUGCUCUUUAGCCCUACAUAUGUUCCGGGGUGUGGUAUAACUGUUCCAUUUUAAGCUACAACCGCACAACCCAAGGCGACCAGAUAGUAGAUAGAUAGAAGUGACAGAUAUAUGGGUGUACUCUUUAGCACUACAGAUGUUCCGAGGUGUGGUAUAACUGUUCCAUUUUAAGCUAUAACCGCACAACCCAAGGCUACCAUAUUGAAGUAGAUAGAUAAAAGUGGCAGGUAUAUGGGUGUACUCUUUAACACUACAGAUGUUCCGAGGAGUGGUAUAACUGUUCUAUUUUAAGCUAUAACAGCACAAGNGAUGUCCCUGCGCCGGUUGAGGAGGCGCAGGUAAGUAUUGAGCGUCGUCGCAACUACAACAGCAACGAAAGGGUCAGAUUCACCUUCUGUUACAGCUCAAGUCCUUCUUAAUCACUUAUUUGGAGGCCCGACGCGCGACGAGGUUAGUGCUGCCAUAUAGAAGUGGACAUAUGUAUCUAGCUGGCAUAUAGGGGAGUGGUUUAGCACUACAGAUGUUCUGGGGAGUAGUAUAACAGUUCCAUUUUAAGCUAUAACCGCAAAAGCAAAGGCUACCAUAUAGAAGUGGACAUAUAGAUGUGGGAGGUAUUUGAGUGUGCUCUUUAGCCCUACAGAUGUUCCGGGCAGUGGUUAAAUUGUUCUAUUUUAAGCUAUAACUGGAAAAAUAAAUGGUACCACAGAGAUAAUAUUAUAUAGAUGUGAAAGGUAUAUGGAUGUGCUCUUUAGGCUCGACAGAUGUUCUAGAGAGCAUUAUAAUUGUUCCAUUUUAAGGUAUAACCGCACAACCCAAGGCUGCCAUAUAGAAAUGGACAUUUAGAUGUGGCAGGUAUAUGGGUGCGCUCUUUAGCCCUACAGAUGUUCCGAGGUGUGGUAUAACUGUUCCAUUUUAAGCUAUAACCGCACAAGUAAAGGGUACCAUAUAGAAGUGGACAUAUAAAUGUGGCAGGGAUUUGGGUGUGCUCUUUAGCCCUACAGAUGUUCCGGAGUGUGGUAUAACUGUUCCAUUUUAAGCUAUAACCGCACAAGUAAAGGGUACCAUAUAGAAGUGGACAUAUAAAUGUGGCAGGGAUUUGGGUGUGCUCUUUAGCCCUACAGAUGUUCCGGGGUGUUGUAUAACUGUUCCAUUUUAAGCUAUAACCACACAACCCAAGGCUACCAUAUAGAAGUAGAUAGAUAGAAGUGGCAGGUAUAUGGGUGUACUCUUUAGCCCUACAGACGUUCCGAGAAGUGGUAUAACUGUUCUAUUUUAAGCUAUAACAGCAUAAGUAAAGGGUACCAUAUAGAAGUGGACAUAUAAAUGUGGCAGGGAUUUGGGUGUGCUCUUUAGCCCUAUAGAUGUUUCGUGGGGUGGUAUAACUGUUCUAUUUUAAGCUACAACUGAAAAAAUAAAGCCUACCACAGAAAAUAUUAUAUAGAUGUGAAAGGUCUAUGGGACUGCUCUUUAGCCGUACAAAUGUUCCGCAGAGUGAUAUAACAGUUCUAUUUGGAACUAUAACCGCACAUUACAUAUAGAAGUGGAUUAACAUUAGAACAAAAUUUUUCUUUACGCCAUAAGUUGUAAUACAAUAUUAAAAUAAAACGUAGAAUUUAAAGCAACAAAACCAUAUGGCAUCAGGACCAUUGAUAUAAUAUAAAGUCUACCACAAAAUACUACAACAGGUUAUAUUUGUACAACACAACGACCAACAUAACAACACUAUAUAAAAAUUAUUACAGCUUGCAUGAUACAGGGUGGUCAUGUACCCUUGCCACACAAGUUAUAGCAGGAUGACCACAUUAUCCCACUGACUAUCCCAUACAUGACAAAAAUAGCCCAUUUCCAUCUUUUUCUUUUUGCUGCAACUGCGACUUCUUCCCGCAACUUAUUAUUGCUUUCUAGUAAACCAUUAACCACUGAGAUACUCUGGCUCGUAAAUUGUGGGUCGUACCACCCAAAAUAAUUACAUGCGUUACUCUCCUGCAUCUGAAAGAUAAUAUAAAUUACACAUCAAAUAAUGUCAAUAUAUGAAUCAACAAGUUUAUAGUAGCCAGCUUUACCCUAUAUCUUGAACAGCCAUAAAAUCUCCGACCCGGAUUAUUUUNNNNNNNNNNNNNNNNNNNNNNNNNUCGGGGUAAACCACGUCGUUCAAUUUUGCCGCAUCCUCGAUUGUCGCCUCCGUACUUGCCGCGUCCAAUUUGAUCGCAGAAUCCGCCUUCGCGCUUCUUUCUCUUCCUCUCGUUCUCCCUGUUUCUAGCACAGCACAACUCCUCUCGCUCCCUCUCGCGCCCUGCCCUCGCUCUCUCUCGCGCCCUGCUCCCGCUCCCGCUCGAGCUCUCCUCUCUCUCUCGGUCGCUCGCUCGCUCGCCUCUCUCUCUUUAGGUCGCUGGCUCGCUCGCUCGCCUCUCUCUCUCAGUCGCUGGCGCGCUCGCCUCUCUCUCUCUUUAGCUCGCUGGCGCCAAAAAUUAGGAAAAAAAAGGAAAAAGGUGAUGGGCUAAAAUGUGGGAGUGAGGUUAACACUGUUUUUUUUUUUUUUUUUAACCAAGUUUAUAUCACCCGUUGGAUCAAAGAGUUGUAGGAUCUACAACUCAAUAUGGGGUGUAUGGGUAGCACGACUCAAAAAAGAUAAGGUAAGGGGUCAAUUUCGAAAUAACCCAAAAGACCUAAGAGUCAAUUUCAAAAUUGCCUACAUUUGAGGGGCUCUCCAUACAUUUUCAAACAAAAUUGACCUUAACAUAAAAAAAUUGCGACUCCGCUGGGGAUCGAACCCAGAAUCUCUGGUUCCGUAGACCAGCGCCUUAUCCAUUGGGCCACGGAGUCAUUUUAUAAUUAAUUCCCUUAACAUUUUAUAAAUUAUUUAUAAUUUAUAUUGGCUUUUCUUUCCUCAUUUUAUUUUUCCCUUCUCUUUCUCUCCUCUCCUCUUCAUCUUUUCCACGAAGAACCUUCUAAAACCCUUUCCCCGUCCCCGCCGCGCUCCGGAGCGAUGAAGACGAGAUCAUCGGCGGCGGCGCCGGCGCCGGCGAGGUCGGUGCCGGCGCCGGCGAGGAGGGCGACUACGAAGCCUAGGGCGAAGAAGAAGCCCCUCAAGGACGAUCGCAACAAGCCCAAGAAACCCCCCACCGCAUUCUUCUACUUCUUGUACGCCCCCCGUUAAUAAUCACCCCUUCCCUGUAUCCAUUUCCUAGGGUUCUAAUGUAGGUAAAUAGAUACUCGGUACUGUAAAUUGGUACUUGGAAUUUCGUAAUAGGUACUUAAAAUUUUCCUAAAUGAAUAUCUAAACUUUUAAAUUUUUUUGUUUUACUAUCGAGUAACAAAAUAUUCCAUUAGUUUAAAGAUAUGUUGCAGUCGAUGCUAAGGUUUGGUAGUAAAAUCAAAAGUUUGAAAGUUAAGGUCAUCUAUUUUAAAAACACUAUUACAUUAGGUAGUAAAAUCAAAAGUUUUGAAGCAUGCAUAUGUACCGUGAAAAAUGCGAUAGUUUGGUUUAGAUCUAUAGAUCUUUUAAUGCUGAUGAGUGGAAGCCAAACAAGAACUAUGUAAAAUUUGCGCGUAAUUAGGUUUGUUGAUUUACUAGAUUAAGCAGUAGAUAGAGGCUUAUGUCGACUAUAUUAGUUAGCAUCUGAUUAGGGCAUUUUUGCACUCUCUGAAUAUUUUGCUGUUCUGUCUGAACUGAGACUGUAAAUUAGUGUAGAAGUAUGUUUUUGUUGUAGAACAAAUUAGUGAUAGUACAAUAUAACUUGACCUUGGAGUGCUCAAAUCUCUCAUACGAUACACAACCUUUCUCCUCAAUUCCUAAUGGUUGAUUCGCCUGAUGGAAAGAAAGAAAUGCACUGCUUUACUAGGAAACUGGCCUUGAGGUUUAAUGGCAAUCUCUCUUUCUUUCAUGGCUCAUUUUUAGGCGAGAAAUCGAUGCUUGUAACUGUUUUCUAGUGAACUAUCGGGAGUCUAGAUGUGUUAGUUAGUUCUGUGUCCAGAUGGAUGGAAGGUAAUAGCUUGUGGAAAUAUUUGAAGAACAUGUUCUCCCAAAAAAAAAAAAGAAGUAUUUGAGGAACAUAGAAAAAUAAAAUACAAAGGGACUUGAAAAGAGACGUAUAUGAUUUUGAGUGGAAAGUGAUUUGGUAGUGCCAGAUAAAAUCUAGCGAAGUUUCAAUAAGUGGUGUAUUGCUUUAAGUUUGGCAUGUGAGUUUGCUUUCAUGAUGUUAUAAUUUCCCUAAAGUAUGCUUAUUCACUGCAUCAUAGUAAUAGUUAUUUAUAGUUUGCUUUGUCUAAAUGAGUAAUAUAACUACUUAUGUCUUGCCAUUCUGUUUAGCUAGCAUCUCUCUGUGUAUUGAUUAUAUAUUUUGGUUGACUGACUUGCGGAAAGCUGACUUGUUUAUGUGAAUGUGCAUCGAAACCUGGUGUUCUUUUGAAGAGAAGAUUUUAGGAAAACCUACCAACAAGAGAACCCAGAUGUCAAAUCAAUGCGUGAUGUAUGUAUAUAUGUACUCUUAAUACUCAAAUUUAGUCUCUUUCCUUUGGUUGCUUAUGCAUAUUGUCUUCCAGAUUGGAAAAGCAUGUGGAGAAAAAUGGAAAACAAUGUCAUUUGAGGUUAGCAUCUAUCUUCUUUUUCCCAUUUGAGGCAUGACAGGCCUUAGCAUUAUUAUUAUUAUUAUUAUUAUUUUCUCUGCAAUUGAUUUAUCAUUUUUUUAUUAUGAAUUAGGUACGAAGGGUACGAGUUAUCUACCAGCAGUAGUAUGUUUAAUAAACAUAAUUAACAUAGGAGUACAACUAGUUCCUUGAAAUGGUAGUUCUGAGCACAACUAAGAAAAUAUGAGGUGAAGAAGUGUGUAAAGCCUGCUUCUUGAAAUAUUGAAGGUUACAACAAGAAACUUCAUUUUUUCUAUCUGGUUUUACUUUAGCUGACUGCACGAAACUUAAAACUGCAAUCAUGGGAAGUUAUGAUAGCAAUCGAUGUUGAUAAAGAAACUGUAAGUGGAGCUGAAAUGGACAAAUCUAAUUUAUGUAGCUAACGCGAAUAAGUUUGGAUUAAUGACUAAGUUGUUGUCACUCUGCUGCUGCUGCUGUCCAGUCCAGACUUGAUGCCCUGUACUUCUAGUUUAAUCAUGCUUUAUAUUGGCUCACGAUACACCAAGGGCUAGGCUAGAAAAUCCUUUUUUUUCUUUCCUUUUUUUGUGUAGGGAUCUGGGAGCUCUGAUAUAAACUCCAUUCUGUCUUUGCAAUACUAUAAGGACACUUUUUCUAGCACACAAUUUUGUACAUGGGGCAUAUCACUACUUUUGUUCCUUGAAUGCAUUUCUAGAGUCAGAAAAUAGAGUUCAUAACCCUUAAACACACUCCAUUUUGGGGAAAUGACAAGAAUGGUGCAUAAAGAAUAUGUUAUAUAGCAAAGCAUGUUAUUUGAAACAUUUAAGAGCCAAUAUCUGACGAAGUAUCUAUCCCUGAUAAAUCAAGGUCGGAUAUUUUAUGUAUCAAAUUUCAGCGGACACUUUCUCUUAGUACAAUCUAGCCAAUUAGUGGACAAUCUUCUAUUACAAGUUUCCUUGAUUAUUUUUGAUACAAAUAUUUCUCUACAGCCUAGCUAAGCAAGAAAAGUAUCAUUUCUCUUUGACUGAAAGAGUCGGCAGAUUUUCCUAUUUUAAGGUGUUAGUGCAUGUAAAACAGCAAAAAGCUUCCUGACUAGAAGUUCUCAUUCUACCUUUUUCAUUCAAAAAUAAUGAGGAAAAAAGAAAAAAGACAACUUUCUGCUAAGAGGCUUUCUUAGAAAGUAAGCUUCUAGUCUCAACAGUAAUAAGUGCUUCCAAGACUUGUAGUUAUGAUUGCUCUGUUCUUUCAGUUCUUUAGUUGCAACAUUUCACAGAAAUCUCCUUUUCUGGUCCUUGAUAUUUCUUGUAUUCCUAAUAGCAGUUGGUUUAUUCUGCUAGAUUAGCUUACAAAAAACCUUGAACCUCCGUUGUGUACAUCAGAUAAUUGUCCAUAUAGCUCUAUUUGCCAGCUUUCAUUUUGAUAAUUGUUCAUCUAAACAAAAAAUAUUCAGAAGGGAAGAGAAUUUGGAUUUUAGGAGUUUCUAUAGAACAGUCUGUUUCAAAAAGGCAGGUUGUUGCUCAAGUUGUUAGCUAGCUAAAACUCACUUCAAUAACCAUGAAAAUGCACCCUGGAAGAGAAAUAAGUUGGGCGUGACCUCGAGCUUGUAUGGUUUCCUUAUAAGGAAAAUCGAGUUGAGACCAAUUCAUGAACUAUAUAAGUUUCAUAGGGCAGAAUAUUCCGAGGAAUAUGAAGAUUCUUCAUUUCAUUUUUUCUCUUUUCUUCCUCUGUCUUCUGUGUUUUCUCUUUUUCCCCAUGUAGUGGUAUUAAGUAUCAAUUGCUUAUAAACUUGUUCUGGAUAGGAAAAGGUUGCAUACUAUGAUAUAGCUACAGAAAAGCGAGCCGAGUUCGAGAGGGCAAUGGCAGAAUAUAUUAAGAGAAAGGUAAAAUGAUCUUCAUUUACUGCCUUCAGUAGUUCAUUCUAUCCAUUUUGUACACUAAUCAUGUUCUAUUAUUCUGCUUCCUUAUUUCAUCUAGGAAAGUGGGGACUUUUCUGAGGAAUCCGACUAUGAAUGAAUAUCAGAUCAAAUUGUUUGAUGAAAAAUCAAGGAUUGUGUGCAGAAGCCAAUCUUGUACAUUGUACUUGCGAGGGCUUGUCAUUUGGUAUCAAAACUUAGUUCAGCUUCUUUUCUUCUUGGCUCCUCUUUCUCUUACCUUCUAUUGCAUUCUUUUUUGCUUCAUUACACUGCAUGAAACGUUUAGCAUUUUCAAAGCUAAUUUUUAAAACCAUAAAAUAGCGAAUAUUGAGCAUUCGAAAGUAAGACAUCUGUUAGUAGAUAUAUUGUGCAAAUGGAGCAAUGUUAUUCCAGAUCUAUUUGUCGCAAAAGUAUCAAACAACAUCACGUGAUUGGAAUGGAAAAAAAAAAAACAAAAAUCAAAAAUCAUGAUUUGAAGAUCUUUAUGAACAGGUUUGUUAAAUCCAAAAUAUUUGUUGUGCCCUGUAAAAGACUCAGAACUUACUGGCACAUCAACUGGACUCCAGCUUGCGGCAGUCCUAGUUUAUUAGUUUAAAAAACAUGGGCAGUUCCUGUACUAUUCCCAUAUUAUAACUUGGUCUCUGAACAUUUUGCGCAAACGCUUUAGGCCUUGAACUUCGCCAUUCCAUAAUCUGAAAAAAAAGUGUAUGUUUCAUUGUAAAGGAGCAGUUUAACCCUGUUUGCAGUGAAAGUUCUUUUUUUAUUUGUUUUUUCGCUGCUAAAAAUGUGUGGGAGUAUCUUGAACUAGGCUCAUUUUGAUUUGACUAUCUAAUGUUGAGUAAGUUCCGAUUUUGCUACCCAACUCUUUAGUUUAUCUGAUUAGAGCAAUUUGAUUGCUCUUUCCUUCAGAAUUUCAGUACACCGAUUAUUCUAGUAGAUUUGAUUAGACUAUUUAAUUACAUGAUUAAUGUGACUAAGUUCCAGAAUUAAAUUAAUUGAAAAUUAGAUAGACAAAUCAAACUUUUAAAAUCAUAGUUUAGAUAAAUUUCAUUUAUUUUUACUCUUUUUCUUUCCCCUUCUACGUCAGAUAUUUAAGUUUAAAAACUACAGUGUUUGAGUAUAGAGAUAUAGCAGGUUCUAUCCUGCAUUUUACCCAGUUCAAUUUAUUAUUCUAAAAAGAACAUGGUUCCCCAGAGUAAAGUUACUUUCUUAUUAAACCUGGAACUUCAACUCUCUUUGAAACAUUAUCAUUGUUUUGGUGACCCAAUUGGCCCCUACCAUUGACUCCUUUGCCCCCUCAAUAAGAUAUGCUCUGAUGCUUCACUCCUUUUCAGUGGUUGAUCUGUAUUUGCUGCUACAAAGCUUUCUUUUAUAUUCUCUUUUCUCUGUGGACCUUUUCUUAUUUUUGUGGCUCUCAUAAUGUACAAUGUAUAUAUGUGUGGAGACCCCUCAACAAUAGUCCAUUACAAACUAGAUCCCUCAACUUCUAACUUCUUCGGAAUUGAUAUAUCAGAACCGACGAAAAAUGGAAGUUGAGGAGUGUUUGUCCAAAUGAUCUAUAGUUGAGUGGAAAAUCGAUUCGCCUCAAAAAAAAAAAAAGGAGAAAAUAAAUAAAAAGAAGUAAAAAUAUAUUAAAAAAAUUUAAAAGAUAGUAGGCAUGGGUGUGUCUCCAAAAUUAUUAUACUAUUUAAUACUGUACAUUUUGAAGCUGAGCAUGUUCCAAAGGUAGUGACAAAGAUGACAUUUUUGCAAAAAACUAACCCCCUUGCUUUUACUCUCCGCAAAUCUCUCAUUCAGAUCUCCAGCAUAUAUACUUGCGAUUUCGCAAAACUAGCUAGCGGGUAUUUUCGCAAAAAAAAAAAAGAAAGAAAAAAAAAGAAAAGCCUGCGAUAAAUACAAAUCUCUUAAUCUAACAUGCUCCGGCGACGUCCUCCGGGCGGAACCUGCGGGAGCCGUCGGCGAGGCAGCUGUCGUCGAAGUUCUUGGCGUAGCUGGCGGCGUCGUAUCCGAAGGUGAUGAGGGGCUUGGACGUGCGCAUGCUCCUGCACACGCCCUUCUUCCCCUCCCUCACCAACCUGUCCAGGAGCCUCCGCCACGACGGCGCGCUCCGCUGCUGCCGCUGAGCAGCGUCGCCGCGGGCGAGGAGGUGGAAGCGCGAGGGGUUCGACGGGCGGUGCAGCACGAGCCACGACGGCGGCGACGCCAUGCAGGAGGGGAAGUAGGAUGAUGAGUGGGUCGGAGAUGUGUGGGUCUGAUCCAUAUAAUUUGUGCUUGUUAUUCGUUGGAGCUAGCUAGCUAGCUAGCUAGGGUUUGUUGCAGCAGCAGCAGCAGUUAUUUUUCGAUGUGGCUAGCUAGCUAGGGGUGGGAGAGGUUUUAGGUUUGUGUGGUGGGUGUUAUAUAUAAAGAGGAUUUGGAGUUUCUCUCUCUCUCUCUCUCUCUCUCUCUCUCUCUCUGUUUGUAUGUUUUUGGAGAUGGUAUGUGAGCACGCAAAAAUAGAUAUAAAUCUUACAAUCUGUCCCAACAAUGAUUAUUUUAUCAUGCUAAGUCUUAUUACAAUUUUAAUUGUUUUACUACGAAAUAUUCAAAAUGUUUGUCUCAAUUCCUGGAUGUGUAAACUGUAGGAUUUUUCUCUGGUUCAUGGAUUGGUCUCAUGGAGCGCGCGUACAACAAAGUCCGUGCCAAUACGUGCAGCAUGUGCGUUUCCCUUGAGUAGGGGUGGAAACGAGCCGAGCUCGAGCGAGCUUAUGUCAGCUCAAAUUCGGCUUGAAAUUAAUUUCGAGCCUAAAUCUAGGCUCAAGCUCGGCUUGAAAUUAAUUCGAGCCGAGCUCGAGCGAGCCUAAUUUCCGAGUCCGAGCCGAGCCUCGGUCGAGCGGUCUAAACGAGCCGAUUGAAAUUCUCGACAUUAUAUAAUCAAUAGUUAAUUUUUAUAGAACAUUACCUAUAAUUUGAUGUAACAUGUCCAAUUAGUUCAAAAUACAAAAAUAAUUGUAAGAAAUGUGAGUUUAGGUGAUUGCCUGACUGGUGAGGGUCAGCAGAGAGAGAGAAGAGGGGAAAAAAAUUAGGGAUUUGAAAAUUUGAAUGUUAUCAUGUUUUAGGGUUAUGUGCAACAGUAAUGUCUGAAAGAGAGUGUGUUAUGCAAUUUAGAGUUGGGCUCAAUUGCAGGGUUGUACUUGUUGGGUUUAUUUUAUGGGCGAACAAUAAUGGCCCAAAUUAAAUUAAAGCCUAUAUAUAAUUAAAAUACAUUUAUAUUUAUAAAUAUUAUAUAUAUAUAUAUAAAUAUAUAUAUAUAUAUAUAUAUAUAUAUAUAUAUAUAUAUAUUAUAUAUAUAUAUAUAUAUAUACAUAGAAUUAGGCUGGAAUACUAUAAUUUAAUAGUAAAACGCUUCAUUUUGCUAUCGAAUUUUAAACCCUUGGAUGAAAAAUAUAAGGUCAGGAUGAUAUUAGUCGUUAGAGUUAGUGGUCUCGCUAGGGUUGAGUGUUUUUCACUGGGUUAUAGUUUUUAAUCCAAAUGGUUGAAAUAAUAAAAAGAGUUAAUCCAAAGGCUAAAAAACUGAUAGCAACAAUAGGAUUUUGCUACUAAUAGUAGCCCACUAAUAGUACCCAGUCUCUCUCUCUCUCCGUCUCUCUCUCUCUCUCUCUCUCUCUUCUCUCGCUCUCUCUUUUAUAUAUAUAUAUAGGGCUACUAUACUUUAUGAUAUAGACCUUGUACUCAUAAAUUUUUAAUCGUUGAUGGGAUGUGUGGUUAGGAUGAUAGUGGUCCCACAUUAAAAUGAUAGCGGUCCCCUAAGUUGAGAUGGGUAAUUGUUUGAAUAGUAUGAUCUAACGGAUAAAAAUGAUCAAUGGAAUAAAUCUAAGAGCCGAAAUCUUAUGAGUAUAUAAGAACCAAUACUCAUAAGUAAGUAGGCCGGACGUUCAUAUAUAUAUAUAUAUUAUAUAUAUAUAUUAUAUAAUAUAUGAUUAUAUAUAUAUAUAUAUAUAUAUAUAUUCGAGCUUUUCGAGCUUUUCGAGCCUAAUUCGAACGAGCCGAGUAAUACUCAAGCUCGGCUUGAAAUGAAUUUCGAGCCUUUUAUUUUGUUCAAGCUCGGCUCAUUUAAUUUCGAGUCGAGCUCGAGCGAGCCGAAUAUCGAGCCGAACACGAGCCGAACGCGAGCCGGCUCGCUCGUUUGCCAGCCCUACCCUUGAGUCUCGAUAAAAUCCGGCGUUGUUUUUGACGGAACAAUGCAAUGAACCAUACAUAUACUUUUUCUAUUAGCAAGAGUACUUACAUAUAUAUGUUAGGCCUUAAACUUUGUCUUAAGAUCUGUUUGGUUCGAAAUUUUCACUUACCGUGUAUUCUAUCGUCGUAAUAAAAGGGCAUUUUGUGGUGUAAAAAUUCUAUGUUCAGAGCCCUUGUAUGUUUUUAACUUGAAGAGCAUUUCAUUUUGGAAAAUAAAUAUGUUUUGCUACAAAUUGAUGGGGAGUUCAACUCACAAGCAUAGUUAGUUAAUUCGGAUUUGGCAAAAAUUCGGUACGGGUAUAAUUCGGAUAAAAUUCGUCUUUUAAUUUUUAAAUUCGUUGAAAAAUACGGUUAAAAAACGGAUUCGAUAAUUAUUCGGAUACGUAAUUUAUACGGAUAUUAUACGUUCACCAAUUAAAAAUUCGGGAUAAAAAAUUCGGCGAUUAAAUUAAAUCUUUUUCUCUCAAGAUUUAUGCUAUUAGCAUAAAUAUUCAUAUUUAUUAAGAAUAUAAGAAUUAAAAGCUACAAAAUUAAGCUAAUUAAGUAAAAAAAAUAUUAAACUAUAUUUUUCUUAUAAAUAAAAUAUUAUAUAAUAAUAUUUUUAUAUAAAAAUAUAAUACUAUGUAUAAUAAAUAAAUAUAUAUUUAGAAAUAAAAUUUUAUAUAUAUAUAUAUAUAAUGAGUUAAUGGCUCAUGCGGUCCACGAGGCCGAAGUGGCCUCGUGGACCGUGCGUCAAUCUAUUUCCAAACGCCGCGAUUUUUCAUCUUCUUCCCCAAACCCAGCGCCAUUUCGAUUACAAGCUCCGAAGUCCCAAAUUCAAUUCUUUUCAAAAAAUUUAUAAAAUAAUUGUUUCAAAAAAAAUUUUAGGGACAACAAAUUUUUGGGGAAAAAAAAUUUCAGCGGAAAUUUUUUUUUUCAAAGAGAUUUUACAAGGAUCUUCUGCGACGAAAGCGGCGGAGGAGAAGGAGAACGACGAUGGCGGAACGACGAUGGCGGCGACGACGCGAGCCGCGAGUCCGUGACCGCCGUUUUUUUGAACGAAUCAUUCGCGAAUCGCGAAUGAUCGCGAAUCGCGAAUGAUUCGCGGAUAAUUUUUAUUGAUGAAAAAAACGCGUUUUUUUACGCAUUUUUCCAAAAAAUGCGGAUGCGGGCGUUUAAUUCGGCAUUCUAAAUAGUCGCGAAUAAUUCGCGAAUUAAACGCGAAUUAACUAACUAUGCUCACAAGCAGAGUAUUUUUUUUUUUUUUUGUGCAUAGGAUUAUAGAGGAUGUGUCCUCUUAUUUCACGCCACUCUACAGAGUGCAAUAACUAUGUAAAAUCAAUAACUAAUCUAAUUAAACAAAAAAAAAAAAAAGUUCAUGCACCAAAUAAUAAUAACAAUAAUAAUAAUAAUAAUAACCCACUAAAAUAAUAAGGAAACACUUAAAAAAAAAUAAUGGCCACAACUUAGGCUGAGUUGGUGUUUGGUGAGAAACAGCGAAUCCGUACCCAUCUCGGAUUCCUGAAAUUAUUGGUAGUGGAAUUAGUUCAGUGUGUGCCGCUCCACUCCAAAACAACCCUCAAUACAAUAUAUGCUCUUUUUGAAUCAUUCCACGCAAUUAUUUUUUAAAACUAAAUCAUAACCACACUCGAAUGAAUAAAGACUCUCCAAUAACGUCUCAUUAAAGAGUCUCCGAUCUAUUCCACUAUUCUUGUGUAUUAAUUUUAUCUCUAUCUAAUGAUUUAUUCAAUAUUUUUUUAAUAUUAAAAUAUAUAAAAAAAAAUUUAAAUUUUAUAAAAAAUAUAAUUUUAAAAAUAAAAAUAACACCUAUAUAAAUUGGAACUCGUUUGGAGACACUAGACACUAUGCACGCUGGUACGCCCACUUUACACGUGUCGACACUCGUCCCCAGAUCUGUUGGCAAUACUUUCCUGCACCGGGUGUACGUUUACACCUCAUGAUCCGUGUGCUUAAGUUUUUUUUCAUUAUUUUUUUUUUCUAUUAAUGUACAUAGCUCAUCCUCGAGGAUUCGAGACUUACUAGAAGCUUCAUGAUCAGAUUUGAGUUUAGUAUCUAUAAUAAUAAUACAUUAGUUUAAAAUUUUAAACUAUAAAAAAAUUUUCUGUUAAAAUAACAAUAUUUAACAACCUGCAUGUAAUAUAUAAUAAUCAUAUUUUAAACUCAAAUUCUAAUUUAAUAAAUACAAUCUUUUUCUAUUUAAAAAAUUUACGCAUGAGAAAUUAUAAGCGUUUAAAUUUAAUUACCUAGGCCUCAGUUCGUACCAGAAAUUAACUGUACAAAAAGAGCUAUUGCAUGUUGGCUAGCUAUUUAUUGAUUAAAAUAAUUUUAACUUUCAAUUAUAUGACUAUAAGUUUAGUAAGCUAAUAAGUUGAAUUGAGUGAGGUUGAAGUUCACAAUAGACCUAAUAGCACGAGACUUAACAAUAAAUCUUAUGUUUAGGUGAGUUGAAUCAGGUCGAAAUUCUUGAACACUGUAAUUGAAUCCUUAAGUGCGAUGAGUGCGGUCUUACUAUCAGCAUAUUUUUUUGAAAUAAUUGGUUAGCACUUACGAUCAUAGUUAGUUAAUUCGGAUUCGGCAAAAAUUCGGUACGGAUAUAAUAUGCAUAAAAUUCGUUUUCUAAUUUUUAAAUUCGUUGAAAAUUUUGGCUUAAAAAAUAGAUUCGGUAUAAAAUAUAAGAUAAUCUAUAUUUAAAAAUUAAAAUUUAUAAGUUUUUAUUCAUAUUUUCAAUAAUUCGGGAAUAAUUCAGCUGGACCAAAAAUUCGCGAAUAAUUUUCUUUCUUUAGAAAAAAAAUUUAUAAAUGGACUGUUUAAUUCGAAUUUUCAAUAAUUCGUGAAUAAUUCGCGAAUUAACUAACAAAUCUUACGAUUCACAUUAUGUAAAAUACAUUAAUUAUUAUAUUUUAAGAGUGCAAUAUGUGAAAUGAAGCUCUGCACCCGGUGCAGCGAAUAACUCGGUCUACUCCAGUGAUCAAAAUCAGCUGGACCACUAGUGACGCACGGUACACCUAAAUCCACGAGUCACAAGCCGCCACGUCAAUAAAUCCAGGGAAUAUUGACAUGUGUCGAGUGAUGAUUGGUGGGAGUAGUGGGGGCGAAUGUCGACGAAGGAGCCCGUUGUUAUGCUGAGCUGGCGAUGUGAGGCACGUGGAACGGGUCCAACAAAUCUACUGGCGAUGAUGUGAGGGGACGCGGCAACAACCACUCCCCAUCUUUAGUGGGGCCCACAACCACUCCCCAUCUUUAGUGGGGCCCACUUGAAAUUCCGUUCCGUUUGUGCUCCUCCGAAACGGAACGCGAAUUUGCAGCGAGGGCCCCAAAAUUAUUACUCGUCGCAUUCUAGGACGUAAACUUUUUUUUUUUCGUUUAAUUGAAAAAAUUAAAAUUUUAAUGAUUACCGUAAUUGAGUUUUUUGAAGCAUCAGAUUUUGUUCCAACGAGGACGGAAUUUUGAUGCCUCACAGCGAGAGAAUUAUAUUGACAUUUUGAGUAAAGCUUCAUAUGAGAUUGCCGAGAAUAUGAGAAUGAUAAAAAGAUAUUUCUUUAUAAUUCGAGUAAGAAAAUUUCUACGUCCCACCGGAAAAAAAUGAGAAUUAUAUUUUUUAUGUACUUUUGUCGCAACUUUUUUCUAAUUGCAUUUGAGGGCUCUCAACAUUCAACAAGCCCAAAAAAAUCUUAGCAAUUGGGCUUCUUGUUGGAUUUGGGCUGGAUCUUAAUUUAUUUUUCUUUUUUGCAUAAUAAUUGCGGCCUAGUCCAGGUCCGCAUUUUAAAUGUUACAUACAUACAAAGCUUACUCUAGGUUUGUAAAAGUCCUUUUUUUGUUACUCGACAUUAAAGUUUAGGCAUAUUUCACUGCUAUUAUAGUUGAUAAGGAUAAAAAUUUAGUUGGAGUGGUCUAUAGUGUAAGAUCACUUUAUCUACUGUUCAUCAUGUAGUCGGCACAAAAUUUAGAACAGUGUAGGCAGAAGAAUUUAGUUGGAGUGAUUUAUAAUGUAAGACCACUUUAUCCACCGUUCAUCAUGCAGUCGACAUAAAAUUUAGAACAGUAUAAGCAGCAGAUAGAGCAAUUAUAUAUUGGAGGCUAUUCCUACCAAAUUUUUAUUCGACUAUAUGUCCGGUCUCGAAUAGAAAUGAGUGUGUUAUUUUGGUGGCUUAAGAACGUCCAAAAUAAAAAAUAAAAAAUAAAAAAUAAAAUGCUAAACUUUGUUCUUUUUUUUUUUUUUUUUUUGAAGUGUUGAUUGAAAAGACAACGUUCUGCAAGCAUGAAAUAUUUGACAGGUAAAAUACCUAUUUGGCUAUCACAACAUGAUCAAAGAAAUAAUUAUUAAGAACAAGUGAUUAAAAAACAAUUAAGGUCAAAAAAAAUUACCAAAGAGUGUAGUAAGGGAACAAAAAUUUGGCAGGGGAUGAUUCCAAUCUCAGACCGUUUUAUUCGACGUCAUCAAUCACGUGAGCGACAUAAAUCUCAAAGUUGCGUAAAUGAUAGAUGAGACGGUCUCACAUGGAUGACUGUUUCAUAAAGUUUUUAUUUGUGAAAAAUUACUUACAAUAUGAUCUAACCUUGCUGUUGUUGUGCACAAAAUAUUGAGCAACAAAUAAAUGUUCAUAAAAGAGAACAACAUUGUCGAUCAAAGGACAUUUUUUUUUACUAAACACUAACAUGAUACUCGGAUUGCGCUUAAUUGGUUCAUUGAAAAUGAAGGGAACCAUAGAUGCAUCAAACCGUUGUAAUAUAUUGCAAAUACCCUUUAUCAUGAAAAGUUUUUUAAAACUAAGAAACAAAUAAAAUUAUAUAUAUAUAUAUAUAUAUAUAUAUNUAUAUAUAUAUAUAUAUAUAUAUAUAUAGUCCGGCUGGGAUACUAUCGACAGCACGAAAUAUUUGGUGCUAUCAAAUUUUCUGGCUUUAGAUUUACCUCUUUUAUCAUUUUCAUCCGUUCGAUUAUACUAUUCAACCAACCAUCCACUCAACUCUAAGGAGCCCACAUCAUCAUAACCGCGCAUCUUUUAAUCCAAGGUCGGAAAACUUAAUAGCACCAAGUUAUUGAUGCUAUUAAUAGUAUUUUAGCUAGUUCAUAUAUAUAUAUAUAGAGAGAGAGAGAGAGAGAGAGAGAGAGAGAGUCCAUUUACUAUUCUAUUAAUAAGAUUGAGGACAUUGUCCUAUCAAGUCGUUUUAAAUGAUCGGAACUUCAAAUUGAUAAUCGGCACCGUUGAAAUUGAUCUACAUAAUUAGAACUGUUUAUAAACUAAAUUUUGUAAUAUUUAAAAAUCAUUAUCAAGUUCAUUAAAGAGUUGAAAAAUGAACGGUUAUAAAUGAAUGACCUUUUUAAAAUAAAGAUUAAAUUUUCUCAAUUCAUAAUCAGAGUUAUCAAACAUUAUCUAAAUAGUUUAAAGAAUUUUCUAUCAAAAAUUCAAGCAAUUUGGAUUGCUAUACACCGUUAAACAAGCAAACGGUUCAUAUAGGCCGUCAAAAAAUUGUCGAUUUUACGAUACUUUGAUCACCAUGUAAAUAAUUUUUAAAAUUUAUAAAACUUAGUUUCUAGAAACCGGAGGGGUAUAUAUGCAAAAAUCCCAUUGAACUAACUAAUUAAUAAUUGGUUCCAAUACACAUAAUAGAGAGAGAGAGUAAACAAAACAAAAUAAAAUAAACAGUGCAAAAAAUAAAAAUAAAAACAAAAUCCAAAUUUUAUUACAAAUCUAUGAAAAUCCCAACUUUGAUCAGAUGUGGCCACAUCCGCAGCAGCAGAAGAAGCAGCAGAGUGCGAAGACGAGGAUGACGGCUUCGGCGACGUAAACUACGCGGAAUAAGACGUCGUCGCGCAAAGAGAAGCUCAGGUUGAGUCGUUUCCACCGUGACGAAGACGACGACGACGACGACGAUGACGAAGAAGAAGAAGAAGAGGAAGAGAAGAAGCCCAGUCUACUGCAGCUCCAGGGCCAGCAUUUGUAUUUGGAGUUAAACUUAGAGUUAGAGCUCGUUGUUGCCAUUGAUAAAGAGGUUGACAUGUGUGUGUUGUGUUGAGUUGUUUGGUGGUGUAGUAAAAGAGAGAGGGUAUUGGAUUCAAAGUUUGGAGCUUUUAAAUUGGAAAGGGACAAGGAGAGGUGGAGAGAAUUUGGAGGGGUAUUUAUAAGUAAGAGAGAGUGAGAUUUGGAGUCAAUUAAUUUACAAUAUAAUGUAAUGAGUGGAUAAUUGCUUAAUUUACGGAGCUAAUUAUGAAUUAAAGUUGGGAUUAUCAUGAUGAUUGUGUCGGUAAAUUUCCCUUUAAUUUGUAUCGUGCAUGCGAAGCUAAAAAAAAGCCUUUUUUUUAAAGACUCAAAUUAUAAAAUUACUCCAGUAUACGUGUUCGAGUGAGCUUUCACCAGGUACAUGUAUUAAUAGGAUUGAUUUACUACAAAUUUCGUAUUGUAUAGUAGGCUGUACUGCACUAAUAGAUUCGCCAGCACUUUAGUGAAAACUUCAACCAAACUAGAAGAUAUAUGAUAUAUUUAAGGCUUUUAGGUGUACAUACACUGAAUAAUAAACAUACAUUUAAGGCUUUAGCUGUACACAUACACUACGUACGAUUGACAAUUCUGUCUGCUGUUCACGAGUCAGUUCAGUUCGACUUGAAAUGAGUUCGAAAUCGAUUGCUCGUUUAGUAGAUGAGUCGAACACGAGCUGAAUUUUUUAGCUCGAAAUCUUAACGAGUUGAAUAAGAGUUGUAGUCAGCUCGCUCGUGUUCGGCUCAAUAUAGCUCAAAUAUAUAUACAAACAUAUUAUAUAUUACAAAUUUCUAAUAUUUGGUUCUUAGGCCAACCCAAAUGUAAAUAAAUCUAUAUUUUGUGGAUUUCACUUAUUAAAUUAAGAUUCUAAUUUUUUAAAUUUCUUUCCAUUGUUCAUCUAGUAGUAAGACUGACAAUAUAACUUGCUAUUCGCGAGCCAACUCGUAUUCGGUAGUAGGGUUAGCAAUAAACAAGCCAAACAUAAGAUGAAUUUUUAGUUCGUUAGUUUUACGAGCUAGCUCGUGUUAGGCUCCAUCUCACUCGUAAUCGGCUCAUUGACGGCCCUAACACUAUGUAAUAAACAUAGUAGUAAAUUUUUGGGGGAAUGGCAUCAUAAUUUCAAAUUAAGAUGAGCUCACAUUAAAAAAAAAAAAGUACCUAAUUGUUCAUCUACUACAUUGUUGAUAUGUAGUUUGCUUUUUUAAGGAUAUGUUCUAAUAGCCGGAUGAAUAUUUAUGUAUCAAAACUAUAUAAUUCCGUUGGAGAUCUAGUACAUUAUUUAAUGCUAUUGUUUUUUUUUUUUUUUUUUUUUUUUUUUUUUUUUUUUUUUUUUUUUUUUUUUUUUUUUUUUUUUUUUUUUUUUUUUUUUUUUUUUUUUUUUUUUUUUU